UCUCUCUCUCUCUCUCUCUCUCUCUCUCUAUAUCUAUAUAUAUAUAUAUAUAUAUAUAUUAUUUAUUAUUUAUUUUUACUUUUUUUCAGACACAAAAAAGUUUACACAUGGUGUUGGUGGGGUGAGUUGGCCCUGUGUUAAAAAAUAGAUCUGUAUGGUGGCAAAGAUAAUGCAUUGGAGGUAAUGGAGUUGCACUGCAGUUAAUCUAUUUGGUGGUGGUGGUGAGGUGUUGGCAACAUUUUGAGUACUGUGCGAUGGCAGUAGUGUUAUAUUGUAGUUGACGAGUUUUGUGAUUAACCGUGUUAUACGUAACCAAAAUUAUAGUCUGUGACCAUACUUGUGUUAUAUGUGACUAACUGUGACCAGAUCGUCUGUGACCAAGUGAAUGUGUCACUGACAUAUGUUGUCGAUGACUAAUUGUGAUCAAAUUUGUAUUCAUUGUGACUAUCUGUGACCAAUUCAAUAUAUACUGUGACAAUUUGUGAUCAAGUCACAAUCGAUCACAGUUAAUACAGAAUUAGUCACAACUUCCACAAUAAAUACAUAAUUGACCUCAAAGAGUCACCAUAAAUAAAUCUUCACACACCACAGCCGAGUACCACAAUCCACUACCAAUCACUACCACCUUCACCUCCAACUUUACUACAUUUACUGACAUUUGUUAUCUGUGACUAAUUGUGACAAAUUUUAUCUUCAGUGUGACUAUCUGUGACCAUAUCAGUCUAAUUUGUGACUCUAUGUAACCAAAUCAUAUAUAGUCAUAGUUAUUAUAGAUCUAACACAGACAGUCACAAUGAAGAUAGACUUUGGUCAUACUCGAUUUUCCUUGUCACUGUCAUCACUCCCAACAACAUCAAUCAAAUGCGCACCACCAUCACUUUCAACAAAUCCUAACCAUCACCACUGGCAUCACUGCACCGGACCACACUACUACCAAUACAACCUAAUAGCAUUGCAAACAAUGCCAGCACCAUGACCAAGACCACCACCGCCAAAUUCAACAAAAAUCGCCCCAACCACAAUAUCUCCCUCCACUGCCACCAACAAAAAUCAGUCGCCAUCAUAUCCAACAAAACCACCGCCUCAAUACCACUCCCACCGCACCAUUACCACAGUUUGAAAAGAUCUCAUGCUCGAUUGCAUGAACAAAAAACACCAAAAAUUAUGACCAACCACCAUCAAAAUCGACGAAAUUCCAUAUCAUUGGAUAGCCCUCACUCCCCUCUACACAUAACCCAACACUAGCCCUCACGCCACCAAAUUUGGAUAGAAUCAAUGGCCAAAAUCACCUUCCAUGCCCUUUCCAUAAUACCAGUUGACUAUACUCAUUAGGGCAACUAACGCGGAGUCCCUUGUGGGUCACCGCUUCGAUCGCAUGAUUCAUCAGCUUUGAAAGGCGUUAGCCAUCUCCCAACGCAUCGUCCCCUGUGGGUCAGCACACCGAUGGUAGAUGAGCUCUUCACCUAGCUUUACAAACCUCGGCGCAACUGACGCGGAGUCUCUUGUGGGUCACCGCCUCGGUCGCACAACUCAUCAGCUUUGAAAGGCAUUAGCCAUCUCCCAACGCGUCAUCCCCUGUGGGUCAACGCACUGGUGGCAAAUGAGCUCUUCACCUAACUUUACAAGCCUCGGCGCAACUGACGCGGAGUCCUCUGUUGAUCACCGCCUUGAUCGCACGUUUUCUCAGCUUCACAAGGCUUUAGUCAUCUCCUAACGCGUCGUCUCCUGUAGGUCAGCGCACGAUUGGAAGAUAAGCUCUCCGCCCAGCUUCAUAAGCUUCGAUGCCACUGACGCAGGGUCCCCUGUGGGUCACUGCCUCGGUCUCACGUUCCCUUAAUCUUUAUGAAGUGCCUUCCCCAAAUGCGUUGUCCCAUUUAGGUCGAAACAUCGAUGGCAAAUGUGUUAUUCUCCCUGCAGAAUCACCUCAUACGACUCAGCGAAACAUGAAAGCCCGUCACUAAACAACGAAUGAUCAACCCAGAGGACGGCCCGCCCACAUCACCUCGAUUAUCACUUGCCUCAACCAACAGGUGUUUAGCACAUCUGCUCACUUCACCCUUUUACUCUAGCACCUCAUCAGAAUCCACAGUACUUACUCCAAGGCCGACAUACAUAGUUGGGAAAACAAGUCCACCCAUGAUAUGAAUAUUCAUGCCUGAACUUGGGAGGACCACUGUUACGUCCCUAACCAAGCCACUUCCACUUCGGCACUAAAACCACUUCGACAGAAAGGCACAUCAUUCUCCAAAGCUCUACGUGUCCACCCGAAGUGGUUCCAAAGAGAUACCAACCACUUCGAAACAAAGUCACAUCACUCUCCGAAGCUCCACGCGUCCACCCGAAGUGGUUCCGGAGUGAUGCCAAUUCCUAUCAACCUCAACAUGACGCACUGCAAGGUGAAUAGAUCCAAUGAAGCAACCGAAGUGUCCCUCAACGCCGAAGUGUUGAAGGGCCUGAGGCACUCCCUUAACAGAUCCCUCCGUCGCCACUGUCAGAAAGAUAUCUGUCAGGAUCUUGACGUGACGUCUCCAUAGAUCUAGUUGACAUGACACGUCAACUUUAUGUUAACUCAACUCAGAAGAACUAAUUGCCCACCCACACUAGAUGCGGCUGAGUGACGCUAUGAGCAGACGCCUCACACCGUCAGAUGCAUACACGUGUCCCACAUCCAACGGUGUUCUACAUCUAUAAAUAAUCAAGCAAGAGACAAAGGUAAUGAAAGUUCUUAUAACUUAGCUCUCCAUACUAAGAAACAUAUAUUCUCCUCCCCACUCUCUUGCACCACUGGAGCACUGUUCCAAUCACCCAACGCUGACUUAACCGUCGGAGUGUAUGCGACCGCCACUACCACUACUGGUCCCGAUCGUGUGCUUCUGACCGUGCGUUGUUGUUCACAGGGAGGAUUACGUGGAGUAGCUACCCGUUGGCCACGUGGAGGGUCCAAAUAUCGAGGUCAACAGAUUACGAAAACAAGAUCAUCAGCAUUUUUAAUGUGCAUUAUUAGCUAACACUUGACAGUAUAACAAACAAGAUGUUUCUUUGUUUUCUUCAUUAGUAUGGUCUAACUAGCUCUUAUAAACCUUGUUACCGAACGUGGUGUUUAGACAAGAUGAUUUCCUAGCUACUAUGAAUCAUGUGACAAAAAUUGAGAAAAUUAGGAUUCUUAUCAUAUCUAGAUGCCAUGUCAUAGCUAAUCUUCUAUAAGCUAUGUUGAAAUCAUCCUCUACUAGAUUCCUUAAUAUCUGUAAAAUGUGUUUUCAAAAGUCCCCAAAGUGUGCUUUUGUAAGUGAAAAAACAUUUCUUAAGUCUCUUGCCCACUUGGCAUUCGCUGGUUGGUUAAUUCCUUUUCACAUGGAUUUAUGUUGGUUGAAGAGUGGGCUGGACAGUUGAUCUAAUUCAACAAUUGUGAUUUAGAUCCAUAUUAUUUUUUACCUUUGGCUGGACAUUUGGACUGGUGGAAGUCUCAUUUUCAUUCUCUUCGUUUUUUUUUUGGUAUCUGACGAUUUUGGGAUUUUCAUGUUCUUUAUCUCUAUAGAUCAGAUUGAUUGGUUAACUUGUCUUGUAUAUUAUAUCUUGGCCUUGUUUGUGGCCUUAGCUCUACUGUAGAUUCCGAUUGUGGUGUUAUUUGUGUAUAUACCACCUUGACCAGAUGUUGUUUUUGAGGUUUUUUGUCCGAUGUUGAACUGUAAAGGGUUAUACUACACUUGUAUUUGGGUAUUGUGUCAAUUAGGCAUAGAUUAUUGUGAGAUCUUUGAAGGGUCGAUGAUCUACUGUUGAGUCGGUGGUCUGAUUGUUGUAAUCCAAACUUUUGUUCUCUCUUGAGAGGUUCUUGCACAUAGUGAUGCACUCUUACCUCUGAGCCCUCAGAGUAGGCGUUUGGCCAAACUGGGUGACCAUUCUUGGGUUGAUACUUUAUUGUUAUCUUUGGUGUUAACACACAUUUUACAAGACCUACUACCAUAAUAUCUUCAUAAUCAUUUAUAAAUUUGUAAAGUGAAGACUAAAUGGUUCAUGCAUUUAACCAGUGGUGUUGAACACCGGUAUCAACAUAUCAUAAGUCCUGUUAAAUAGAUCAUAAUUUUUUGUAUUUAAUUGAAUCUGUAAUUUAAUGUUACUAGUAUUGUCACCUAAACAAGUAUUAAAUACUAGUAGUGCCAUGUCAUGACUGGAUCAACAGGGGCCUUCGAAAAGUGGUGAACCUUACUUCACCAACCGCAAUAAGACUUGGGCCAGCUCAGACCAGUGAGUGAGCUGUUUUUUGCUCUCUUUUCGAACGAGCUAGCCUACGUCAAUUGUCCUUGUUUAAUACAACUAGGCACACCUCUGCCGCUUAGUCUUUUCAUAAUACUAAUUUAACUUUUUGUUUAUGAAAAAUUACAAUAACACUAAUCUAUCUAGUUUGUAACCACUGAAAGAGAAAUUACUCGAGUUUUGUUGAAAGAUGCUCUUUGGGAUUGGAUCAAUUGGAUGGGAAGUUCAAAAUCAUAAUCAAGAAAACUGGCCAUCAAGUAUUUGCAAAUGAGGAUAAUCCAAGAUAUUGAAUGAUCCAAGUUAAAUUUAUUAACUUCAUGCAAGAUUUAGGUUCGGAUCAACCGAAUCAAUACAAAAUACACAAAAGAUUUUAACAUUUUGAAGUAAUAACCCAUUACUGAAGUCAAGGUUCAGGUACAAGUUUACCAAGAACAAGUGUCUUUCAAAUUGACAGAUUAUACAAUGCUAUAAUCAUAGUAGACAAAUCAAGUCCUAACCAAAACGAUACCACCACUCCAAAAACACGUCCAUUCAUGUCAAGACCGAAGAUAUUAACAUUUGGCGAUCAUUCUCAGAUCAGAAAACUUCAAUUUACAAAACCUAUCAACCACUGACAAUGAAUCAACAACUAUAGAAGGUACAAGCAGCUACAAGCUAUACGACAUAUGCAAAGAAACUGCACAUACACCCAUCUCAACUAACAAAUAUUUCCCUAUUUACGCUACAUCCAAUAAGUUUGAAAGACUGUAAAAUUUCUAGCAUCAAUUUCCACCAGAUUAUGCUAUGUCCAAGUUGGAUGAACCAGAUGUAGAAGCCCCGGCUUCACCGGUCACGUUCUUUAAUUUCUGAGAAGGUAACUCACAAUAAGACAGAGAUUCUGGCACAUCACCAAUGUCUAAAUAUUCAGGAAGCUUCUCAGAAAGAUCCACAGGGGAUAGCUGUAAAAGGAAACAGGAUGAUUUAUAUCCGGCUCUAGAAAACAAGGUCUAAUUGAGUUGAAAUCAAUAAACAUAAAUAUGAUUAUCUAUUGCAAGCCCUUAAAGAGCAUAAGCUAACUGAAUAGAAACAGAGUGACAAUGAAAGACAACUCCAUUCAUUAGAGAACCAACAAAUGAACUAAUCUUAUUAACAUUUAAACAUCAACUAGAAUGGACCCAAAAUUUUUCAUCACACGAGCACUGCAAAGGAGGCUAAAUAAUAAGAACUGUGUCAAAUGCUAACAUUUAACAACUCAACAAAUCCUCUCAGAGCGAGAGAGAGAGAGAGAGAGAGAGAGCACUUGAGGUCAGUUCUGCAGCUUCAAAACAUCUGGUUUAAAAUCAUAACUAUAAGCGAAAUUUUAUUCCUAAUCCUCGCUCGAUGAUGGGUUGAGUAUGAAGGCUGGUUUAUGAUAGGCAACAUCAUCAAUAUAUAUAGUCUAAAAGAUUAACAUGUCAUCCUUCUCAUACUUCUGUCGAAAGAGUCCAUUCCUAUUCCUUUCCAGCUCAUAUGUGUCAAUUCACCUAUCGAUCUUUGUCUACUACUCUUUCUCCUGCAAUAUUCUACUAGCCUUGAAUUGAACCAUUGUACGGAAAAUCACAAAACGUAAAGAAAGCCAUCAAUUAUUUUCUGAAUGAAAUCAUCACUCCAAUGCUACUACACCAUCACAUCCCCCUACAGUUUGUUCUCAAUUAUAUUUGCUAGAUAUAAUUACUCUAAGAUCUUCCACUCAAGUUUACCAAGAAUGGACUUUCUGUCAAAAAGUAAACGCACAAUCUGUUCAUUUGAGACAUGGAAUCUGAAUAUCAGAUUACAUUAGAUAUACGCUUAAUAGCUUCAUAAACGUGCCUGUAUUUUUGUAAGAUAUCAGUUCUUUUCCUAACCUAUCCUUCAAAUGAAUGAAGUAUUAAUCUGUCUGAUAUAUGUUUUUAUUAUGUGUGAAGCAUCAUGUAUUAGGAAUGAGGCCUAACCUUCCCUCUUAGCUUUUCUUCUUCUUCUUCUUCUUCUUCCGUCUCCUGAUUCUGCAUCACUACGGCCUUCUUUUCAAGCUUAAGAACCUCGGAGAAUCACUAUGAUCAUCAAAUGACGUUCUCUUUUUACACAAUCCCUAAGUCAUCUUCUUAAGACCUUAACCAAAGAUUAAGAGCACAGCUUUAAUCUACGUUUACAAUCAACUAAACAGACAAAAUUAUAACAAAAGAAACAAAUUAAUGCAACCUAGUUCUCAAACAUCAAAACUUUAGGUAGCUCAGUGGUCAGGCCAUGAGUUUGCUCCCCAAUGGUCACCAGUUCAAAUCUCCUUAGGGUCACUGAUGUGAAUACCCGACUGUAAACUUCAGAGCCCCGUAGGAUUAGUUGAGGUGCACAUAAGCUGACCCGAACACCCAUGAUCAUUAAAAGAAAACACUAGUUCUCAAACAUCAAUUAGAGAUAGCAAUAGGAACAUGUUAUCAACCACACAUAGCAUAAAAGUUGAACAAACAACUCAAAAGGGUGAAUGCCCUUGCAAAUCAGAAAAAAAGGCCACGUGAGAACAUCUAAAAUUGGAAUGCACGAAAACAAGUGAACAACAACCUAAACCUUAUAAAUAUGGGAUUGGCUACAUGAAUUCUUUUUCAACACUAUGAAAAUCUAAAGUAACUAGAUUCCUAGAAACCACCACAACUCAAGUUGUUUUGGUCUUCACCCGUUCUAACAUGUUUGACAAAGACUACAUCUCUUUUGAACGGAGCUUCUUUAGGCCUACUAAGAUGCAUCUCAACUAUCUAAGUCAUCCUACUCUUGAUUGGUCAAAUUUUUGAUUGCAAAGAACAUUUACCUCAAGUUGAUUCAGCAUGUCAACUGCAGACUCCACAUCACAGUUACUUGUUGAAUAGACUUCAGAAAGGGAAUCCUUAGAUAUUCCAGGAAAUUUCAUCUGAAGAUAUGUUAUAUCCAUGUCAAAUUCUUCCUCAAGUGUAAACUUUUCAGCCAUCGUAUUUUGGUUAUGUGAUGAUGAAGCAUAGAGUUCACCACCACAAUGGUCCUUCAGCUUAGAAAGCUCAGCAGUUUGGAGAAUAUCAGUGCAUUGGAUAUAGCUUUGAGAAACAUUUUGGGGCUGAUAAUGUGUUAAUGCAUCCUUCGAUUGAUCUCCGAACCAGACAGCUUCAUUUCCACAAUUUGAUUCUUUUGUAGAAAAUUCAAAAUCUUCCCCUUUAUCAACUGUCCCCCUUUCAGAGAAUGGUAUGUAUGAUGUUGCAUUGGGAUUUAACUUUGAUGUUCCUGGCUUCAUGGCCGCACUGUGUAAAACAAUCGACACUGGAAAACAUAAAAAAGUAUGUCCCUCCAUUAAGAGUAUCUAACAGGUUCUUAUUAAAAAAAAAAAAAAAUCUAUUCAUUUCGCCAGGGCCAACCUUAAAAUAAAUAUAUGGUGUUGAACUUUGAAAACAUUUGCAUGGAAAUGAAUAACUCGAAAUGAAAAUGACUAGUGGCAUACUUAGAUCUUAAGAUUCAAAAGUGUCUGAUAUAUCCCCUGAUUUCAACACCAAAUAAAAGUAGCUGUGGACUAGUUUAACUGUUACAGAUACAUUCAGACCCCUGAUAAGAUAAAUAAACUAAGAAGGUCAAGUCAAGUUGAAAAUCGUGAAUGUUGACUACAGGAUUCCAUAUGCAAUGCUUGGCAAAAUCUGGGAGAUAAACUGAACUUCAACUUGACCCAGAACAUCAUGGUAUAAAUUGACACGCCCUUUUUUGCCUUUCCAAUUAUUUUUAAAAAAAAAAAAUGACCUGUCAAAAAAUUUAUUUUGUAUUUAUCAUGUCUUUGCCUCUACUUGAAUCAGAUAUUCUGAAUACCUCCAAAUAUUUUAAAAUUCGUGAUCAUUUAUUUCUUUUGUUAAAACGAGGCAUAAACAGUAGACAUAUUUUACCUUCUUACGAGGUGGAUAACAUGUAAACAAACCAAAACAAAAAUAAGAAAUUUGUCGGGUGAAUAUUUAUCAAGAGUUAUCAUAUUCAGGCAAAAUUUAUAUUUAGUUAUUUGACAAAUAGACUGCUAAAAUUAUUUUAUUCAUGUGAAUAUAGGUGAUAAAAGAGUUUAGAAUGCGAAUAACAGAUGCAGAUGAAACACAUCAGUAUUCCAAUGGCAAUGGUAUUAAUAACGGUCUGUCAAUUAUGUUAUAGAGUUUCGGUAAACACCUGGGCAUGAUAAAAGACUCAUUGAUAUUAGAAUUCUGUUUACCUAGCUUCCUCAACCCUUUCUCUCAAUAGGAUUAAAAGUAAAAAAUAUGGAAUGAGCUAAUCUUUUAGUGAAGAGAAUUCUUUUCCUCCUCUUCUUUUCUUUUUUCCUUUUUUUAGACACCUGUGGGCAGAGUAUUUAUUAAUAAUAAUGACAAGAAGAGUGCAAAGCUUUGGAGGUGGACAUAAGGCCCAACCCCCAGCUAUUGGAAACGGAAAUAAAUCUUAACCAGGAAAAGCACUGUUAAACAAAGCAUUUUUCCCCUCCACUUCAUUUUCUUCUCUCUCUUUCCCUCUUUGAUCUCAUUCAUUACUUAUACAAGAGUCGCUAUCGUUACAUAUUUCAUAUUUUCACAACCUAUCUUUCAAUAAAGGCCAACGUUCUGACCUCUUAAGAAUGGAUUUAUGAGAUAACUUUUUAAUUUCCCUUAUCCAAUAAGUUUAUCCUAUCCUAAACAACCCCACGAGUCAUUUUAUAAGUUUAUGUUUCUCAUGAGCUCAAGAUUUAUUUAUAUAUUUUUUGGGGGGGGAGAGAGGGUGAGGGUUCUUUGGCUUAAGACUUGUGACUUAAAACUUGAAAGUAGUAACAAAAUAUGAGGCAUCAUAUGACACUGAAUAUAAAGAUUCAAUUAUUCAUUCUAUUACUGUUUUGAUUUUUAUAUGUAUAGACUCAACAUUAUUUAUGAAUAUAUUCGCAAUCACAACAAAUUAUUAAAUUCUGAGUUUCAAGAUCUCAAUGAAAUGGGAACAACUAUGUGAAACUGCAUACAACGGACAAAUUUACCAUUCUACACUAAUCAGAGACCAUGUAUAUAAAUAACUUUCAAUAAAUUAUAUUGAAUUUAUAAAAAAUAUAAAUUUUAUCCCACAAUAAAUUAAUAAAAACAGUACAAUUUAUAAUGAACAGACAGAGAUCAUAACUAACCUUACGGAAACUAUCAUACUAAGGUAUCAGUGUAAACACUAACAUACACAGAGCAACGGAUAUGUAAAUAAAAGUUUUCAUUUUCUGUUUACAAGUUUUGCAAUUAAUACAUUGAGAAAUCUUAUAGAUCCAUACACUUUUUUCUUCAGUAAUCCCACUCAAAAAUCUCUCCCAGACUCGAAAUUAUGUCACAAACGCAAAAUGACACAACAAAUACCUAUACAUACAUACACGUACACAAAUAUUGACACAAGUUAUGUGCGUAAUGCGUGUAAGCACAUCCAAAAUGAAAAUCAAUGCCAAGGAUUACGUGAUCAACUUCAAUAAACCUAAAUUCAGGAGUACGACCGCACGACAUUAUGAAAACGAUCACGAAUUAAUCAAGAAGUAUUGAAGAAUCGAAAAAAAAAUUGAUUCAAUGGAUUCAAAAAAUGAUCUCGAAAUUUCUUUAAUUAUAUUAUAACAGCGAAAGUAAAUUCCGUAUAUUCCUACGAGAAAAAUAUGGACAAACUCACCAGUAAAUUCGGCAAUAAUGGUGCGAAAUUUGUUGGAUGAAAACCCUAGAUUUCGCGAUCGUUUAGACUGAAGAGAUUAUUUUCUGUAUUGGAAGAGAGAUGAACGUGAUGACGCUUUGCAUUAAAUGGAGAGGAGAGUGACGUCAUUCAGUCGUGCUGGACUAGAGCGUAGAUCAGCGUAGGUAUUCUAGCCCACAAUAAAUAGUGAGAUAUAACGCAUACAAAUACAAAUACAGAGCCCACUCUUAAAAUUGCAAUUGUUCUUGUGGUAAUCCGCAGCACAAUUUUUUUAUGUUAAAGGUAGUAGAACAUACUUUUAUCAUGAUUGCUAAAAUUAAUAUUCGUAUUUUAGAUCACACUAGGGAUGUCAACGAGUCGAAUCAAUUCACGAGCCAAAAUUUUAAGCUCAGAUUCGACUCGGAUAAAAUUUUCGAGCUUUUUUUCGAGCCCAAGCUAGCCUGAACAAAAGCUCGGCAAAAAAAUUAUGCUCGACUCAAGCUUUCGGCUCGAGCCUUUCCGAGCCCAGCUCGGCUCAGGUUUUGUUUGAUUUUGAAUUUUUUUAAUUAAAAAGGCAGCAAGUAACAUUUUAGUUGCUGCUUAUUUUUGGCAGCAGCACGCUAUCUUUAAUUUUUUUUUUAAAUUUUUUAAAUAUAUGCUUGGUUCUUUCGAGCCAGUGAACCACACGGGUCAGUUCGGAUUUUGCCAGGCACUUAAAAAUGGGGCUCAAUUUGAGUCUCAGCUCGGUUGUCUCGAGUCUCGAGUCCGACGAGUUUGAACUUUUUUCGAACCGAGCCACGGGCGACCCGAGCCGAUGAGCUCGAUUGUCAUCCCUAGAUCACACAAAGGAGCAGAGGAAAUUGAGAAAUUCACAAUCUUAAGGAAUUCAAGGCUUUAUUUCUGAUUUUCGGUUACAAUGAAGGAGGAGAAACCCUUUUAUAGGAGGAGUCCCUUACAGUUAAUCGACACAAUCACAUGGAUUAGUACAAUAAUUAGAUAAUCGAACAAACAACUUUAAAACAUAUAGAAUUCAAGAACAAUUAUUAAACUAGUGGACAUACAAUUUUUAGCUUCAUUGUUUGAGAGAGAGAAAUAAAUUCUUGGUAAUACUUCUAAAGUUGUGAAGUUCUUUCUGAAAGCUAUGAAACCAUGAUAUCAACAUUAAAACAUAUUACAAUUUGAUGUGUUUGCUAGUAUUACCAAAAUUAAUAGGUUCCACUUUAUCAUCUAUCUAAUCAAAAGUUGUGUGUUCACUAGUAUAAUAAUUGUGCUCAAGUCCUAUAUGUUUUAAAGUUGUUUGUUCGGUUGUCUAAUUAUUGUACUAGCCGAUGUGAUUGUUUCGGUUGAUUGUAGGAGACUCUUCUCCUAUAAAAGGGACUCUACUCCUUCAUUGUAAGGACAUCGAAAAUCAGAAAUAAAACCUUGAGUUCCUUAAGAUCGUGGGUUUCUAAAUUUUCUUUGCUUCUCAGUAGGAUCCAGAAUACUGAUAUUAGUUUUAACAGUCAUGAUGAACCAGUAAUUUGAGCAGUAUCAAAAGUAUGCUCUGAUAUUACCUCUCUUGAAAUUUGGCUAUUCGUUGUGGGUUAGAAUACCUCGAUUGCACUUUUCUCUAGUUAGUUUACAUGUACUGGUAAAACAAAAUAUUAGUAUAAUAAUACCAAUGAGAAAAUGUUGUCCUAAUGAAUCAGUAAUUUGAGCAGUAACAAAAAUAUACUCAACUAUUAUCUCUUUUGAGGAUCCUUAAUAUUAGAAAUUGUGCUACAGAUUAUAAGAUCUACUAAGGAAAUUUGCAAUCUUAAGAGUUAGGCCUUGUAUUCGUAUGUCUCAAAUCUAGCUAUUUGUUAUGGGUUAGAACACCUAAAUUGCAACUAAAACAGUUUUCAGGAAUCGUUCUGAAAUUUUGAAUUUGAAAGGUAAAUACAUAAGCCAUACAUUCACAAUAUAUUGAAAUUUUAGAAUUUAUCCUAUAGUAGUUUAGUCAAUGAAGUUGCACACAAGCAGAUUGUUGAGUAACAACAUCACAAUUUACAAAAUAAGGCAUAACUCAUAUCGAAUUGAAGUGAAACCAAGUCCCGUGGAUAGAUAAUUCGAAGAGAUAUCGAACCCAACUAGUCUCGAUCUCUGUCCAAAAUAAACAAUUCACGAUGUAGUUUUAAAUACACAUCAGAAUGCUGAAUUUUCCAUACAGCCAUCGACCACUCUCCAAGCUAAAAUCAUUUAGUAAAUGUAAUGAUAAAAGAGAAGGAUAAGUACAUAAAUACACUCAGCGAGUUACUUAUAGCCUAUCACAACUGAUCCGGCCAUGAAACCAUAUAAAGAAAUCAAUUACCACAUCUAAAACUGAGAAUUAUUACAUCAUGAACAGAGAUGGAUACAGGGGGGACUGGGCUGGGCUGUAGUCCCCCCCAAGGCCCAAGAAAUUUAUUUUUUUUUAUGCAUUUUUCAUUUUUUUUUUUGAAAAAACAGUUUUUUGUGUGUAAAUUUUUUUCCGGCGUAUUAGUCCGACUUGAAAUUUUGUAGCCCGAUUUUGGAUCCGUCCCUGAUCACGAAGAUGGUACUUCAUGCAAGCAUUGCAAAUUGAACUUGAAGGUUUAAACUAAGUCUGAGGGUUUAACCGAACUGAUACAAGGAGUUCAGAUUGUUAGUUUUUUUCUUUAAAAAAAAAUGAAAAAAGAACAUGACAACAUGUAAGGAACAAAUUGUGGAAUGGAAACUACCUAUAAUGUCUCACAUCUCAAAAAUUUAAUCUGAAACUUGAAAGCUAAAAUACGGAUUUAAAGGAACACCACAGUUGAAAAUUUCAACUUGUCUUGAUAAAGGUUUCCAUCUAGAACGUGUGUUAGGGAAUGUAAAAGACUUCUAUGCCACUUAUGUAUUUAAAUAAUUAAAUCACACUUAUUGAAAGAAUAUUUGCCCUCAUUUUAUGCGCACUAAUACAAUAUUUGGACAAAAAUUAUCUUUAGGGACCAAAUGUGCUAUUUAACGGAAGUUGAAGGAUAAGAGUUCGACAAAAAAAAAUAAGCCCAUAAUUAUGAUAAUAAGCAAGAUUGAAGACUUUUAACGUAACUGAAACAAUUAUAGUGUCAAUAUAGCUGCCCUAAUAAAACAUUUUGAUCAAUGAAAUUUUCCCGUUUAAUUGUUAAGAAGUCAAAUUUUGUAUAAAAAAAGGAUUUUUAUACCUUUAUUUUUUAUUUCGAAAUAUAGAUUUACAUUAAAGUAAGAAGUCACACAGUACGAAUGGAUGCAUAGGAGACUAAAAUAUUUAGUGUUUUUAUUUUUUGGUCGUGGCUUAGGCAAAUAUAUAUUUUGGCAUUUUAAUGUGUUGUGGAUAUAAAUAUUAUUCAAUUAAAUUCAUUAUUCUUUUGACCUUUUGCUACAAUUUAUUGUACCUCUACCAAACGAUAAACUCUUUGAUUUAAACAAUUAAACUAGUCGUAUUAUUUCAAAAGAAGAUGCAGAAAAUUAGUAUUUAGUGUGAACUCGUGGCUGACACUAGGAAUUUCAAUACCUUUGUACAAGAGUAAUGCUUUUGGAAUGGGUGCUUUCAUAUAAUACAAGUCAUAACUUGAUACUAGUACAAAAUAUUAUUUAUAGAGCCUAGAAAAUAAACUAGUAUUAUAGAAGGCACAUCCAAAUCAAAAGUCAAAAGAAUAAUGAAAAGUUUAAAUAGCAAAGUUUUAGUAAGGACUUCCUCCAAUAUUCGACAAGCUGGACUUUACACACACCCUUGUUUGGUAGGGGGCUAAAAUUAAUUUUUUAGUAAAUUUUAAUAAAGAGUAAUACUAUACAUACUGCAGUAAUCUUCUUAUGUAGCAAUUUGUUAUUAAAAGCAUUGACUUGUGAUUUGAAGUAACAAAAUUACAGAAAACGAAUACCCUGUUGAUGUUAACUUAAAUUGAAAUCUAAGUUUCAACCCCUACCAUACAGGGACUUAGACAUGACUGAAUAGGCACAUAAGAUGUUUGUCAAUUGUCGUAUUCAAUCCUCAUUCAAUGUACAACAAAUUGAAUUAAAACUCAAAAACACCUUAUAAGCUUAGUCAAAUAUUUGACAUGCUAGACUUUACCCGUUAGCACAUAAGAUGAUUGUCAGUUGUCAUAUUCACUCAUCAUAUAGAAUACAAAAAAUAAGCCACUACAUCGCAUACUUUAGCAUACCAUGAUAAUUCAAUCAUUUUCUAGCCUUCACUUGAAAAUUAAGAUAGUGAUAAAAUGCACCUCGAUAACAAUUUGGACAUUGGGCAUUAUAUUUGAUAGCAAGAAUUGAAAAAACCAAGCAAAAUAAAGGAGAAGAAAACACCCCUAAAGCAUGAAUAUAUGGCUACAAACCUUGCAACAAAUGUCAUGUACACUUUACAUUUACUAACAACAACAAAUUAAGUUACAUAGGUAAGCAUACAUAAAUCCUUUAUGGCCACUCUAUUUAGCUCAUUACUCGAUCAUAACAACUAGAUCCUUAUUAAUCGGAAGUUAGCCAAGUUUAGCCAAGUGAAUCAACUUCUAUACUUCCGAAAUUGCCCUGCAAAAAAAGCUUUAUAUUUCCCUUCUCAUCCUCCUUUCAUGUACUUUUUCUCUCUUUAAUGGCAAACUACUAAAAAUCUAUUUGAGUAAAAUCAAAUCAUUCAUCUUGAAACAAAGAGAAUUGAAAGAGUUUCAGAGAAAUAUGAAGGGUCUGCACUUCUUAGCUCCAACACAAUUGGAUACAAACACAAGCAAGGAGGUCAGUUUCUUGUAUGCAUUCAAUAAACUCAUCCGCGCAGCCUCCCAAUUAAUUAAUUCCGUCCAGUGAGGAUUAAGAAUGCAAGACUAAUAAGAGAGCUCAAUUAACAUAACCUUAAUGCAAGAUGUGAUAAAGCAUGACGUCCCAGCAGGCAACUUAAUCCAUCAUAACAAAAUUCGACAAAAUCGAUUGUUACAUUGUAAAAAGUACAAUUACGACACAAACUCAUAUCUGGAGUUAAAAUUAUGAAAUUAAAAAAGAACUCAAUAAGCAAAACUGUAUUAGCAUGUCCAUUUAUCAUGAAACAAGAGGCUGGAGUACGAAGAUUAUUUUGCAUGAGCAAAUAAACGAUGAGAUACCCAGCUCCAUCUGCAAUUAUUUCAAAAAACUGCCCUUAACGUGCAGGCUGUUGGUUGUAAUGAUUCUUCUCUUUCUUCUUAGCAGCAGCAAGUUUCGCACUCCUUGCAGCAGCCUCCACGGAAGCAGCUCUUGCAGCAGCAGCCAUUUCUUUACUAGAUUUCUUCUUCUUUGCAGAUGCCGCUUUCUUUAGCCGCUCUUUCAUGUCAACAGCUGAUGCAUCAUCUUCCACCUGUUCAGUUCCAGCACUUUCCUCUUGUCCAUUAGGAACAUUUGAGCUGCCUGGUUGCUCCUGCGGUUCCUUCACCCCUUUCGAAGCUUUAUCCUUCUUUUUCUUCUUCUUUGCACCUUUGGAUUCUGCAGGGACACUAUCUUUCUUUGUUUCACCAUUCAACUCUCCCUCUUUCUUUUCUUUUGUAGCAUCUGCAAGUUUGUAAAGAAACGAGGCAUUUAGCUGGAAAGGUUAUCAUUUAAAAUAUCUCUGACAUUAUAGUCUCACCAAUGAUAGUCAAUUUUUACUAAAAAGUACCACUAGAGAGAAUGAAUUCAUGAAAGUCCACAUUGAUGUCUCAAUAAGAUGUAAAAUUACCCAAGAAACAAUAAAAUCAAGCCACAAGGACCAGACAUGAAGACAGCAGAUCAAAAAGCAUAUUUAUGAAGAAGAAAUCUUAAAAUAAAGCUGAUUCUAGCAAAAGAGAAAUAAAAGGUUUUCAUGAAGACAAGGAGAUACACAAUUACCAGAUGAUUGAUCAAUGACCUUCUCGUUUGGGGUAACACCAAAAUUAGCCAAAAUAGCCUCCAGUUCGGCCAUCUCUUUUUUCUUUCUCUCCUUCUUAGAUAGUUGCCUUUCUGUCUCUUUAGGUGCAGGUGAAGCUUCUGGAGGUUCUAUCGGUUCUAGCUCGGGCUUUUCCUGCACUUGCAAUUCAUGCCCGCGUUCCUCCUCCUCCUCCUCCUCCACAUCAUCAGCUUCAUCAAGAUCAUCUUCACUUUCACUUUCCUGCAAUUCCAACAGACAAUCAUAUUAACUUACCCAAUUUAUCUCAAUUACAUUCAUCACCUAAAAUUCCAUGAAUGAUAUGAAAUCUAGCCAGGAAAUACAUUGAAAACCUGGGAUCUCAGAUUUGCAAAUAAUGUCAUCUUCUGGGAUUUCAUCUUACCAGAGGAAAAAGAUUUAGGCAAUUGGAUAUAGGGCAGUUCUACUAACUACAAAAACCAGUGACAUAAUGAUUGGCUCUAUUGUUGCUCACGAGAGUGAGGCGAUCUCUGUGUAACAUGUUCAAAGAGGGAAAGGUAGACCAACAUAGUUUGUCGCAGUUCCUAAGUAUCUAGUCUGAAAUAUACUUAUAAGUUAGCACUGUUAAUGAACACAAACAUACAGAGAGAGGAAGGGAGAGAGGCGUGGAGUUAGGAAAUAUAAAUUCUGCAAGGAAGGUUAUAAAUCUUACACUAACAAUGUAUUUCUUGGUGCAUUCUUCUUCAGUAAUCUAAAACAAUGAAUUUUUUAUUAUAUUCAAACUUCAGUAACUUCUUUUUGAAUGGUAUAUUAGCCAUUUAAAGGAAAAAAUUUGAUGCUAUUCAUAACAAAUAUUGAAUUGGACAUCAACUUAAGUUAAUUUUAGAAGGGCAUAUAACGCAUUUAAAGAAAAAAUCUCAUUCUAUCAGCCAAAAAAUAAAAUAACUGCUUCCUUACACUUAUUAAGAAAGUGCUAUUUCCAAAAACUGCAUCACACACACACAGAGAACAUUAGAUAAGUAUAUAGAUUAAAACUUGGCUACUAAAUCAUGGUCAGGGAAUAUAAAAUCUAAUGGAAAGGAUAAAUAUUAAAGAGCAAGAAAGAUAAGCCUAAUGAAUGUACCGAUUCACUAUGGGAGCCUUUACCAAAAACAUCAAUUGUAAACAUGUCUUAAUGAUCCAAUUAAGGGGCAAGGUCAAAUCAAUAAUUUCAACGGCUUACAGCUUAAUCAACUAAAUAUCCCAGAAGUAUCAGAUGUAUCAUGAUUGAAGGUAUAAAUUACUUGCCGUAGCACAAAACACUGAGAAUCAUCCAUUCACCUUUCCCAGUUUUUUUUCCCCUCUUUUCUGUUCAACACCGAGAUCGUGUCUCUUUAUAAAACAUGAAAGAGUAUAUACACAACAGAUGGUAGGGGAAGGAUGACAGUGCAUAACAUCAAGUCAUAAUUAUUCAACACACAUUCCUAUUAUCUAUAUAUAAACUGCAUAAAUUUCGUUGCUUAGGCAAAAGAUGGUAAACACAAGUACAAAAGGGUAAGAUAGUGAGCGCAGUUUGGUUUGGGUUGGUUUUGACUCUAACCCGAAACCAAAACCAAUUUAGUCUGUUUGGGUGAAUUUCAACCCCAACCAACCCACUAUAACUCUUCAACAAAACCAAACCAAACUGAUUCAGUUCGGUUAAUCGGUUGGGACUUUUAGUCCAACCUGAAUUUUUUUUAAAAGAAAUUUGUCCGAGUUUUGGGCCCAAUAAAAUUAUAAGAACUAAAAUAAUUAAAUAAUUUUAUAUUACAAAAAUUAUAGACUAACAAAUAAAAUCAAGUUAAAGAGAUAGAUCAAUAGAAACUUAAGAAUUUUGUUACCUUUUUAGGCAUUAUGUAGUCUGACUCCCUGAGUAGGAAAAAACUAAUUACAACAUAAUGAGCUUAUGAAAGAAAAUUUUUAGUACUAUUACUCACCGACAACAUCACCGAUUGGAGAGAAGCGUGAUAUAGUUAUGAGAUUAAGGCUUCUCUUUUGAUUUUUAUUUUUCUUUUAAAAAAAGAUGAACAUGUAAAUAAAUUGGUUGGUUCGGUUAACCAACAGUUUGAGGCUUCAAACCAUGAGUAAACCAACCCACCAUGAUUUUGUUUAAAAGAAAACCAAACCAAAUCAAUUACUUGUGUCAAACCGACCUGAGUCGGUUCAGUUGAUUGGUUUAAUCGGUUUUUCAGUUAUUUUGCCAUAGCUCCUGGCAUAAACACACACAUAAACACCAAAAGCAACACCAAACUAACUGGAUUCGUUCAGAACAAUCAUCCACCGACAAUAUAAAUGUGAUAAAUCCCAAUCAAUAAUUUCGUCAAAUAAAGGGGAAAAAACACACAAAUAAUAUAAACAUCAGUCUAUAUAUUUACCUCAACGUGAUCUGGUUGCAUAGUUUUUUCAGUUUGAUUCAAACCCGAACCUCCCCAUACAGACUGAGGUGGGGCAGUGGUGGCAAAGUAAUCAUCAUCAUCUUCAUCAUCCACAUCAGCCCAUGACUUCACUGUCAAAGGCGCAGGAGCCCAGUAAACCUGAGGCUUCUCCUCAGGUUCUUUCGAUUUCCCAGCCUCAGAUUUCAAACCGCUCUUACUGCUUUUCCUCAAGCCCUUAUCCUUAUCUGACUUCUUCUUCUUCCUAAAAUUAUCAAGCGCCGCAAAAACAUUGUUAUUAGUCAUCUUAAACGAUCCCUCGUCCCUCCGAUUCCCACCUCCAACCAUUUUCUAUUUUUUCUAAUAGGCAAGAAAAUUGAAUAAUUUUUCGAUGCGAUUCGUAUUCCCGGAAUCCGAGAUACUUAACAAUCCAAAAGAAUAAACAAGAGAAAACACAGAACAACGCACAAAAGACACAAAAAUUUCAGACUAAAUCGAUUUAGAACCCAAUUUCUAUAUAUUUGCGGAACGAAUACCAAAUAUCAAUAACCCGCAAUUAUUCACGAAAUUCGAUUUUCUUCGAGUGAUCGACAAAUUAUGAAUCGACAAACACAACUAGAAUUACGAGAAAACUAUGGUUUCUAGAGAGAGAGAGGGAGGAUUUUCAAAAUGCGAGGCUAGGCGAAAAUUCGAAACAAAGAAUCGCUACCGUAUAUUUUCAGAAUGAGUGAGAACGCGAGGAUUCUUCUUAGAGGAGAAGGAAAAAGGGCCACGAGAUCACGUUUAUAUACUUGUGGUUUAUCGAGGAGAGGCGUAUUGUCCGACCCACAAGACAAUCGGACCGAAUAGCCGGUUUAAUUCUAAUUAAAGCAUUAUUGAUUGUAUUUAUUGAUUCUGGUACGUGGUUAUAUAAUUGGAUUAAGCCCAGCCACUGUAGCAACGAGCCCCAUUUGAAAAAAAAUAGCAAGGGGCACAUCGUGUGUAUUCUCACAAGGUCCCCGUACGUCAAGUAGCGUCCUAUAAAAUUAUUUUAUUUAUAGUUAGUCAUUCUCUGUUGGGAUAGCUUUUCCCAUUUACACUAAUUUAGGUAUAUUGAAAAUAGUACACUAGGGAUCGAGUCAAAAUGGAACUGGUCAGCUUUGGUUUUAUUCAUUUACGGAACCAUGCUAGCCAGAAAAAUUUCACAGGAUUUUUCCACAGAUAAACACAUGACAGAAUUUCACUUAGGGUCCGUUUGAUUGCAAAUGUGAAAUUUGGGUGGAAAGAAAAUGAAUUCCAGGGAAUUCAAUUAUCUAGAAAUUGUUUUCCUGGAAAUUGUCAAUUGAUAGUGUUUGAUUGGUAUAAUUUUUCACGUGGAAAAUGUUGAAAUAAAGUGUUUUUUAGUGUUCGUUUGACUUUGUUUUACAUGAAAAUUGUCAAUUUAAGGGAUAUCCACUUCUACCAUUGUUCCUAGAAUUUGUUUUCAUUGCCAAUUUUAAAUAAAAAUUUUCAAUUAAAAGAAUAUUCUCUUUUACAAUUAUUCAUAGAAUUUGUUCCCAUUGUCAAAAAAAAUUUUAAAAAAAUAAAAUAAAUAAAAAAUUGGGUGGAAAAUCCAAAUGAAGGAAAACAAGGUCACGUGAGGGGAGGGGGGAAUUCAAAUUCCAUGGAAAAUUUGGACAAUCAAACACUUUAAAUUGAAUGGACAUUUUCCAUGGAAAAUGGAGUAAUCAAACAUACUCUUAUUUCAAUCAAAUCAAACAAAAAAAUGCACCACACAGAUGCUGGCAACUGAGCAUUUGUAUGGUGCCUGUAAACUGUUUCUUGUACGCAGGAAAUUGUUCUUUUAUCUCUAUACAAUCAUUACGUACAUGUGUCGUAUAGGGAAUUGUUCUUUUAUAUCUAUACAAUCAUUAUGUACACGUGUAAGUUCACUAUUACUGUCGAAUUUUUGUUAAAUCAAAAACUCAUGAUUUAGAUCCGAGAAUGCCGAAUAUGUGUGCAUAAAAUGGUUGUGGCUGUUUCCUUAUAUUUCAAUGUAAAUGUAAUUAAAUGGAAGAUAAAUAAAAUAGUUUAUUUUGUUUACGAUUUCAUAUUACCUUGAGGGCCUAUAGAAGGCUAUAUUUAUGAUGAUCAAAUGUCUCACGUGAUACUUGAUUGUGUUCGAUUUUUACUUUUAAACUCAUUGUCUAGUCCUAAAUAUUUAUUCCGUGAAAUACAUUCUUCAAUAAUUUAUGGUUUGGGCUCCUCAAUCUUCCACAUGAUGUAGAUAUGAACUCUCAACCUUCUAAAAUUUUACCAAUUUUUAUAUUGAUCAAACUUCAAUUUUAACCACAGUUUUUAUCAACUUUGGACCCCAUAUACCAUCAAUUUUUAUCAAAUAAAAGUUUUGUGAAACAAUUAGGCAAUAUUUGUUGGAAAUUAUUUAGGAAAAAUAAUAUUUUGAGUAGUAAAUUUUUUAGAAUCUUCGUUUAAAAGGUACAAAGUUUUAAGCUUACGUGCAAAAUAUUUUAUUGUGUAAAUAUUUGGUUAAAAAUGAAUAUGUAAAAACGAAAUCUUAAACAAAAGGCCAUCAAAUAGUGACUUAGAUUCCAACGCAAUUGAUACCAUCCAUAUGAAGUUAAAAAUCUCAAAUGAUAGUUAGAGGACAAAAUUAUCAAACACUUAAAAACUUUUUUUCAAAUUCAACUGAAAGUUACAUGCAAUUUUAAGGUUUAAAUUGACAAUACACUACUCAAGGAUGAAAAAUCUGUGAAUUCACCUCGUCAUCUUUGCCAGUUAAAACUCCUUUUGUCUUGCUAAUAUGAUGUUAAAUAAGGAUUGAACAGGAUAUAUUUGGAUGUACAAGGAUUGAUAGAGUUUCAAUAUAUUGGGAAUUGAACAAAUUUCGUUCUCUAACUAUGUUAUGAAAGUAGAAGGCAGUAUUACUAGUUAGGAAACUUUAACAUUCUCACACAAUCAAUACGAUCCGUUAUUCGUUUUUUCCAAACUAUAAACAAGUGCAUGAAUCAUCUAGGCACAAAACAAUUAUUUUUCUAUCCAAACCACAAUUCACAAACGUAUAAUAAGUUCAAAAACAAUAAAUAAAAGAAAAAACAACGAAAAAAUGGUAUGAAUGAGAAUCCAAGACUUAUCGAAAAAAAUGAGAGAAAGAGGCAAUUCAAGUAAAAAUUCACAAACAGUUAUUUUUCUAUCCAAACCACAAUUAAUGAGUGUAUAAUAAGGUCAAAAACAACAAAUGAAAGAAAGAAUAACGAAAAAAUGGUUUGAAUGAGAAUUUGAGACUUACUGAAAGAGAAGAGAGAAAAAGACAAUUUAAGUAAAAAUUAGCAGACAAACAGCAAAUGAGACUGACAAUUCGUUCACAAGUGGUAGACAAGCGUCAAAUGUUAGGAAAAUGAGAGUUUAUGUUAGGGCUUCUGAAACCUUGUAUGUAAUUUGCUGACGUAGUUUUAUUGAAUUAUGAUUGGAUUGUUGAAAGUGCCUAUAUAUAUUUUUUUCAUUUUAUAUAAUUUUGGAAUAAUUUUAGUUUAGUUUAAAUAUUAGAUGAGGACGUGUGUCGUGAACUUGUUAAAUCAUAGACCAAUAAUGAUAAAAAUAAUUUACUUUCUAUGAUUAUUUCAAUAGGCUGGUUGUAAUUUGUAUUAUUAAAUUGAUAUUUUUUUUUUUGAAAAGUGAAAAUCGUAAAAUUUUAAGUUAAUAAAAUUAAUGUUUUAUUUAAAAAAUUUUAAAACAGUUCUGUGAGAUUUUGUGCGCUUUUUGAAAAUCUAAAUCUAAACCAAACCAUUUUGAAACUGUUUGGUUUGGUUUGAGGGAAAAAAAUCACAGGUCCACGUGGACUCAAAUCAACGGUUUCAACUCAACAAUUUUGGUUUAAUUUGCAAUUUCGCGAUUUCUUUUUGUAGCCCUAAUAUUUUUCAUAAAAAAUCUGUCAAUCUAACAAGCCAAUUCUACCAAUCUUUGCGUGGGAACUGAGCAGUUUAAAAUCACAUUUUCACCAACCUUCUGUUACCAUUUCCCAUCGUCCACUUCGAAUCUGAACCAAGAAAGUUUGGCCAAAAUGUAAAGAAAAUAGCGAAAAUGGAGGAGGAAUGAUCAUUAGACUCAAAUUAUAAUUAUGGUAAUUGGUAAACGUUACGGGGAUCAAGGAUAUGAUUAUGUUGGUUUGUAUUGGGAGAAAAGUCGAUUUGUGUUGUCGAUUUGUAUGCCUUUGCAAACAAAACUAGAUAAGAGAAUAAUUCAAUAAUUUUUAGAAGAUGUCGAUGGUUUAAUAUAGGCAAUCUCUGGUCAAGUAAAAUUUUCAUUAGAGGAGAUUGGGACGAUGUAUUGAAGGGUACCCCAUCAUAUGAAUUUUUUUUUUUUUUUUUUUUUUUUUUUUUUUUUUUUUUUUUUUUUUUUUUUUUUUUUUGAAGUACUUCGAGAAAUUUGAAUUGUUACGUAGCUCAAUCGCGGACUUAUUUCACAAAAACUUUACCUUGUUACCAAAUAAUGAGGUAAAAUUUAAAUUUCUCGUAAUGCCUAUUGCAUUCUCGAAAGUCUUCUCUGAAUUUUUUGUUGCUUUCAUGUUCAUCUUCUUAAUGUAGAUACCAAGAAUGGAGGCAUGGAGCAUAUAUUAAGCCUUCCUGUGCAAGAUCCUCCAUAUGCUGAGUUUUCUGCUGCUCAUCUAAAUUGGGUUAAAGUAGAAGCGGUUGUCAAGUUGGUGAUGAUAUUGCACUAAUCCCUUUUGCUAGAGUAGAUAAUUUUGUAAAAAGAGAGUCCAGUAAUGCAAAAUGUCAGCUCGCUUCUGAAUUGAUUCGAGAAGGAAGAGACCUGAAGGGGGUUUCAACAAACCAAGGGUCGACGGAUAUCUUGAAUAUACUCUGUAUGCCACUUCUUGUAAGUCGCAUUUCAUACUUGUGCUUUGUUGAAAUAUCACCUUGAACUAGAAAUUUCGUGUUAAUAAUCUGGUCUAUCAUCCAAUUUCGUUCUGAAUUAAUUCAUGCUGAAAGCUAUUUGUCUUACAUUUUUGUAACGUAUUCUACCAUUGUGAAAUCGUGUAAGAAGAAAAUUUUAGCAACUUACAUUUUUCUUGGAUUUCUUAGGUAUUGGUGUUGUUAUGGUCCUGAAGACUACAGGGAGAGCGAAUCUGGUAUUGGAGAAAACUCAAGCAUUAAACGUAAGGAAGUAGGCCUGGGAGACGACAUGUGAUGAAAGGAUGCCUUUGCCAUUUUAGGUUCGUUUUUCUAAUUAUUUUUUUGGCCUAUGAACGAUUUUAUUUCAUCCUCAACUUUUAUACAUAUUAGAAGGGUGAUUAAGGGCGUAAUGAACUUGUAAUUUGUGGUAAAUAUUAUAGGAUUAUUCUAUAUGUACAAAAUCAAUGACAAACUUGACAAGUGGUGGCCCCCUGUUGGUGGAGUGGUGGUGGGGCCAGCCGCCCCACUAACAGGGAGCCGCAACUUGUCAAGUUUGUCAAACUUUAGUAAUUGAUUUUGUACUUAUAGACUAAUCCAAUAUUAUAACACCUGAUUGUAGACCACAUUUGCAAGUACAAUGAAUAAAACAUUCUGGGAUGAGCUCUGAAGUGACUGAGAGCUUAGCAAUUCCAGAAGCUCGAGGGCCAAAAUUCUGGUGUAUUUGUCAUUUGGUACUAGCUAAUUGUCAUUUAUGCAGAACCUAGCAAGAAAGUGGGACAAAACUAGAAAUAAUAAUCCAAAGGCAAGACUUGCUAUUUACCUUCUGCUUUUCUUGAAAAUAGUGACUGACUGUAAUGCUAUUGGUAAAACUGCACAUUUUGUAAUUUUUUCCUCAAGUUUUUUCCUAUCUUUUUUUGAAAGUUGCCAAUUGGACGACCCAGGUAAUCUCGUAGCGGAAAAUAAGACUAAGAAAAGUAAAAGAAAAAUCCCUAAACAUAAAAGAAGGGAGUUAAUACUCCUUGCAUUUGCUUUAGCUUGCUGAUUUGGAAUCUUCACUAAUUUGCUUUCUUCCUUUUGACUUCUGCAAUAUGCUUUGUGAUCCCUGUUUGUAUUUGACUCUUCUCAGAAUCCUAUUACAGUUGCCUGGGUCAUUAGCUCUAGUUGACCUGGUCAAAGUAUUCACAAAUGGAUGUCAACUCUUGUUGAAAGAACCCAGAAAGGAACCAAGGUGGAAACCUUGUGGAUGAUCCUUCUGUUGAGGCUUCAGUUAUAAGGUAAGUUGCGCAGUUUGAUUCUCAGAUGUUAUAUUUCCCUAGUUGUGGAUUUGAAACUGGAAAAUUUCUGAUGCUUAUCACUUGUAGAGAAGCCUUCCAAUUCCACGUUUUAUUAUCCAUUUGGCAUGUGCGUCGUGGAUGGUUGAAAAGCAUUUUGAAAAAUUGCAGCAAUUUUGUUGUGCAGAGGGAGAUGUUUAAGCACGUAGGCAGGAUUUUGUACUGCUCGAAAAGUGGGCAAAAUGUGGUUGAUGCUGUUGAAGAGUUCGUGCAAAUAUAUGUCAAUCAAUAUGCAUUUGUAGAACAAUUUAGAAGCAAAUGGUUGCCAAAGACAGGUAUGGUCGGGUCUCAUAAGUUUUUUUAAUUUCUGGCGAGGAAACUUUGCGUUCUUUUUCUUGUUAAAAUUAUUGGCUGCUCAAGUUUAUAGGCCGGUUUUUCUUAGCCUCCUACAAAAUAUGCCAGAUGAUCCUCUAGUUCUUGAACAUGCCAUAUCACAUGUGAUAUGGUUACAACAGGACAUCAAAAGCUUGGAGGAAUUGUCAAAUACUGGAUUACUGCGGUCUUUAUCUUCUGAUACAAACUUCCAAAUGCCAGAUAAUCUCCAACCUUUUCGGCUUCAUUAAUCUGCACUCUCUGUCUGAAGUUGCAUCAUGAGGAUCCCCGAAAAUGUCAAUGUUGAAGCACAAUAUUUCGUGGGAGUAUUGCAUCGUAGGCCUUCAACCUAUUUCCUGAAUAUCAUUCUCAGCCAUUAAAGAGGAGUUAUGAGACCCCACGAGGGCAUGCAAUGAAGUAAUGAAUAUUUGAGUGGUUUUGAUUGCUGAGGACUGAUUGUGCAACUAUAAUGGAAGGUUGGCUACCAACUUGUUUGUUGGACUUGGAUCAGGGACCAACUUGCUACUUGGGUAAUGUUUGGGGACCAAUGGUGCAUUCAUCCCACAUUUAAUCUCUAGACUAGAUUUCAGAAGUGGUCAGAUUGGCAGAUUUCAGGCGCUCUUGUGAAUCUUGAAUUCUUUACAGUAGAGGUAUAUUUUCAGUUACCAUGCUGGCAGAUACUUCUAAUUGUUAUUUUUUGCAAUUAAUGUUGUUAACUAAUUAUUGGUGCUUCGAAGUUUUUCAAGCUUGUGCACAAAUUUUUUCAUGCAAUUUAUCUUAGUUUUGGAGAGCCUAUUAUUGGCUGCUCAAGUUUAUAGGCAGGUUUACAAGGUUGCAAUCUUCUGUAGAAGUCGUCAGGUAGCAAGGCCAUUGUUGGCUGCUCAAGGUUAUAGCCUUAUAGGCAAGUUUUGCUUAGCCUCCUAGAAAAUAUGCUGGAUGAUCCUCUACUUCUUGAACGUGCCAUAUCAUAUGUGACACAGUUAAAACAGGACAUCAAAAGCUUGGAGGUAUUGUCAAAUACUGGAUAACUGCAGCCAUUACCUUCUGAUACAAACUUCAAAGUGCCAGAUAACCUGCGCUCUCUGUCUGACCUUGCAUCACAAGGAUCCCUGAAAAUGUCCAUGUUUAAGCACAAUAUUUCUUGGGAGCAUUGCAUCGUCGGUGUCCAACCUAUUUCCUGAUAGAUAUCGUUCUCAGCCAUUAAAGAGGAGCAAGCUGGUUCUCAACCUUCCAUAUUGUUGCCGAAUGAGACCCCUCGCGAGGGCCAUGGUGAUGAUGUAAUAAAUAUUUGAACAGUUCUGAUUCUCGAGGACUGAUGACUUGGAUCGGGGACUGUAGAAAACAACAAACCAAAGAUGAAGAAUGGAGGAGAAAGAGAGAAAACCGAUUAAUAGAGAAAGAGAGAAAACCGAUUAAUAGCAGCCUCCAAAAUUGGUUGCAUAAUGUAAGAUUACAAUGGUUUAUAUAGUGCAAAACUAAGGAAACAUAAUAAGAUUAAACUACCCUUAACCUAUUAACUUAUUACUUUAACAUCCCCCUCAAACUCACGAUACUACGACAAGGAGCAACGAGAGUUUGACCAACAAAAAGCGUAAAUGAUAAAUCGAAUUUGACUUCAUGGCAAAGUCUACAAGCUGCAACGACGGAGAGCAACGAAAGGUAGGAAAAUGAUGCCGAACUGCAGAUAACUAAUGAAACCAUACAAUCUCAGCUAAACCCACUGCAGAUAACCAACGAAACCACACAAUCUCAACUAAACCAAACGGAUGCAAAUUUCAAAUUUCAAAUGAACUUGAUAUAUCAAUUCCAAGAACUGACUAUGCCAAAUUCCAAACUCCAGAUAGACUGGAAAAACGAAAUUUCUAAUCCCAUAAACUGGGCAAACAAACGAAAUUUUCAAAUCCCGUGAACCGGGCAUCAAACGAAAUUUUCAAUCCCCACAAAUUUCAAAUUCAAGCUCGACAAAUGCCAAAUUUCAGAUACACGAGAUCAACACCAAAACAAAUUUCCAAUGCAAACUAGGUCCAACAUUAAUUAACCGACCCAAUAAGCUGUCUAAUAGUACCAAAGCAGCCCAAAUCAAUCACAGAAACCAAAUUGCUGACCAAAGAAAUUUAACCCAAAAUUCAGCCCGUACAUAAUCAUCUUCCAUAAUGCCAUAAUGAGGAAAACUCCAAUUAAUCUGCUUUUUUUUUUUUUUUUUUAAGAGACUUCUCUAGCAGGCCUAAUUAAUUAGAGCCCAACCCUUUUUUUUCUCUCCCUUUUUUUUUUUUUAAACCCAAAUGCACAAAUUGAAAUCCCAAAAUACAAGGCCCAAAUCCAACAUUACCAAACUGCUGGCAAUCCACAGCCCACUACUUAGGCCCAAUUCAGCAGACCCAUCAAACAUUUCAAGCCCACUUACUCAAAAAUUAAAAUACCAGCCGAACUAAAAAAAAAACUAACCCAACAAGCCCAACACAACAAUUCCAAGCCAACUUGAACCAACUGGCCCAAUUUCAACAUACUAUAGGACCCAAAACCAAUCUACAGGCCAUAACCUACGAAAACAAACCUGGCCAAAUUUCCUCCAACUUCAUUUUCUCUAGGGCUGUGGCUACCUCUCGUCGACACCAACAAAAGUCAUAAUUCAGACAGAACACCAAUUUUUCUUCGAUUCGGACAGGCCACAGUUGCACCACGUUCCCAACUUUCAAGUCGUUCCUGUUCAGCAUAUCUAUCUAAUUUCCAGUCAGCAUGUAGGAUACGCUCUCCUUCCCAUUGCUUUUCUUCAUCGGCCAUCUCCUCAAAUCCACUUUGUCCCUUAUUAGCAAAGGAUCAAUAAUUGGUACAGAUAUGUGCUCCAGCUUGCCAUUGAAGCGUUUCAGAAGAUGGACUUUCUCUUCAUCCUUGAGAAACUCUCCUACAACUGAAUUUAGAGGAAUAGAAAGCCGGCUUUGUUGAGGUUCUGUAUCAGAUUUAUAGAGUCCCUUCUGUACCACCAAUAUCUCCUGUGAAAUACUUCUUCCAUUGGCCAGUUCUUGAAUUGCAUCCUUGAAUUCUUCAGGUAGCGAAGGGGGAGGAUCCGGUCCGGUGUUAAUUCUUUUCUUCACAACCCGAACUUCUUCUUCUCCUCCAUUGCUACGUCUUUUGGACUUAUUAUUUUGUUUCUACUUUUCACCCCAGAAGUUUCUGGGAUGUCAACUGUACUAUUAUCGAGAUUAUUCCUUCUAGCAAAAUCUUCUUCCAAAGUAAAGAAGAGAGAAAACCAAACCUGCAGCUUCUCCAUUUUUUUUUUCGCAGCCGCUAACAUAUCACAAAGUUUUGACCACCGGACGAGCGGCACAAGGCCGCUCGCCGGAGAAUGACAUCUUGCAAGUUUAAUCCAAAAUCAAACCCGCUCUGAUAUCAUAUAGAAAACAACAAACCAAAGAUGAAGAAUGGAGGAGAAAGAGAGAAAAUCGAUUGAUAACAGCCUCCAAACUUGGUUGCAUAAUGUAAGAUUACAAUGGUUUAUAUAGUGCAAAACUAAGGAAACAUAAUAAGACUAAACUACCCUUAACCUAAUUAACUUAUUACUUUAACACCAGCUUUCUACUUGGGCAAUAUUUUGGGUAUCAAUGGUUCAUUCUUCCGACAUUUACAGUAGAGGUAUGUUAUUUGUGUAGCUAAUGUUCUUAUCUAAUUAAUGGAGCUUUGAUAUUUUUCAAGCUUGCGCACAAACUUUCAUGUAAUUUAUCCUAGUUUUGAAGAGCAUAUUUUCGUGAAUAUUCCUUUAACUUGCUCAGGCUUGCCCCGUUAAUCACUACCAAUCUUUGUCACCCAAUUCCCCCAUCAGAGUGUACUUGUUGCGUAUAACUUAAAAGGUUUCAUGGAUUAUCUUCACUGCUUUUCGUAUGCUCUUAGAUUUCCUGUUGUACAAAACAUGUUCUUAGUCCUUGAAUGACAUCUGAGGCCUGAUCAGCAGUUUAAAUUUUGACUAAUUUUCUGAAGGUUCGAGAAUUGGAAAUAGUGGUCUGUGGAGUUGAAGAUAGUAGUGGAGGCAGCCAUGGCUACCUGUCAACGUAGUGAGUUGAUGGUGAUAUUGGUGGUAGGUAGUUCUACGCAGGGAAGUAGCGGUCGACUGUGAAAUUUGAUGGCUGAGUUGAAGAAAGUUAAGGGGGGUGGAGGCAGGGUUUGGGACAUGCUAAUGCACGGAGGUGAUGGUAGAUGAAGCGAUGGUUCUAAACAUGGAAACAAUGGCCUCUGCAAUUUGAUGGCAAGAGAUGAUGAAAGAUAAGUAGUGGAGUCGGAGUUGGCUUUCAGACGCGCGAUAAUGCAUGGAGGUGGAGGUCAAUUGCUAUAGAAAUGCAAUUAGCCAGUGACAGCACCACCACCAUCUUAGAAAUAAAACAUAAAAUAUAUUUUUUCCUAACCCACAUAACCAUCCAUCGCAGAUUCGCAGUAGAACCAACACAUGCAAUGGGCACCUCGCCAGCCCAUCUCCAUCCUUUUGCAAGAAUCAAAUCAUAACCCAGAUAAUAGAGAUUUGGUUCCAAGAAUCCGAAACCUUUUUAUGCGAUUUGAUUCUUGACACGAAUUGUGGAGGAUUUGUGAAUGUCCAGUUAUGGUGGUUGUUAUGCUACGAAGGGGGGGUGGUUUGGAGAAAAAUAUGGGACUGUUUGGGAGUGAUUUUGAGAAUUGAUAUUUUAACCGUUAGGAAAAAAAGUGAGCUCCACCUGUGAGAGAAGAAGUCAAAUAUGAUGGGGGCAGGGGUGGUUUGGAGAAAAAUAUGGGAUUAUUUGGGAGUGACUUUGAGAAUUGAUAUUUUGAUCGUUACGAAAAAAAUGGGGUCAAUCUGUGAGAGAAGAAGUCAAAUAUGAUGGGUAAAAUAGUGAAAUAACAGUCAAAAUUUUUUGGGCCAAAAAAUCACUCUCAAACAGGCCGUAUAUGUACAUAUUUCUUGGAUUAAUUUUUGUAAGGUGAUGGUGGUACCAUUGUCACCACCAAUAUGACUGCAUUUGUGGAGAUGAUAUUUGGCCGCUGAAGGGUGGGCGUGGGGUAGGCGAGUUUGGCGAUGGAGUCGAAAUAUUUACUUUUUAAGAUUCUUCAUUUUUAGGUGUUUAAUUAUUUCAAGUGUAAUUUAUUUGUAUUUUUGGAAAAUUAUGGGACUAUAUUUUCAAUUAUUCCUAAUUUUUGUUGUUUUAUUACUUUCUUUUAUUUCUGUUUAUUUAAAAAGGAGAUCAAGAAUGAUGAUUUUUUGAAAUGUUGGGACAGAUAAUGCGAAAGAAAAGAUCGAGGGUAUAUUUAUCAUAUUUUAUAAAUAUUGAGGACGAAAAGUGAAAAAUUUCCUUUAAACUUAUCCAUUUCAUCUCAAGUCUCAACUUUAUCUUCUCCAACAAUUUUCUCCCAUAAUCGGACACGUAAAAUUUUUUCUAAUCAAAUAAUAUUAAAAAAUCAAUUCAAUAAUUGUAGCAUCCUAUCCUACCAUACCCUAGGUUACAGAAAACGAUAUCACAUAAUGGAUAAACAUGAUUGGGUAUUAUUUUUAAAUCCGCGUCUUAAUCCGUACGCGUCAGCACCUGGUAUUGAUUCGGUGGGGCCGUCAUGACACGUGACAAAAUUUCCUUGCGGUAGCACGCGUCGUGCCAAGAACCAGUCGUUUGUUAAUUACUUCUUCCCGUUGAUUUUUAAAACCGACAUUUGACUUGAGAGAUAGGCUACGAUACGCAUGGUUCCACUCAAAUGAUUUCAUUCACACAAUUUAACCGGUGGGCAUUAUUUGGAAAAAGAAAUAUUUUAAAUAGUAAUUUUUAACAAAAUGUGUGAUUAAAAACUAGAAAAAUUUCAUGGUUACAUAUAUUAUUUAUUUGUAUAAAUGUAUGACGAAAAAUGAGUAUUUAGAAAAAAUAAUUUUCAAAUAAUGAUCAUCAGAGCUUACUUCCCAUUUCAUAAAAUAAUAAAUCGUCAAAAUUUAGUGCUUGUUCGAUAGGGAUUUUGAUAAUUGAUUUUUUAACCGUUAAUGAUAAAGUGAGUCCCACCUGUGAGAAGUAAAUACAAAAAUGACGACUGUAAUAGUGAAAUAACGAUCAAAAAAUUAAUUUUAAUUGACUUUUUAGUUGUACUAAACAAGCUCUUAAUUAUAACCACACUUCACGAUGAAUCCUUAAGUAUUAUUUAUCAUUUAUUUUUUAAUUUAUUAUUUUAUUUACAAAUUAAAUUAUUCAAACAUAUGAUUGAAAAUUAGCACUCUCAUUGUUGGCAAACACUCCAAUCAUCAGCCUAUGCAUGAUAAUCAUUCUUUGAGAAUUUUUUUGGGAAAAAAAUCAUAAAUCUGAUAUUAAGUAUGGAGAAUCCAAAAAUUAGGUUUUAAGUUUAUGAAAUACAAAAAUCAUGUUUAUUAGUUAAUUAAUUAAAAUAUUUAUAAAUUAAAUAUAAUAAAGUCACAGUUACACGAUUAAUGGUCACGAAUUCAUAAUUAUAGGUUGUAGAUUCAUUAACUGGUAACAUAUCGUUAAAUUAGUUGGUCACAAAUCAAAAAUUUUAUUGGUUACAGAUUAUUUUGAAAAUUAUUUCGAGGUCAUAUAUCAUUCAAAUUACAGGUCAAAUUUUUAUCUAUUGGUCACAGACGCCUAAAUGUUGGUCACAGACACCCCCACCCACCUACCACCACUGCAACAACAACUACCAACAUCAUCAACAACACAACAAUAAUUGGUCACCACCACCGUCAACAACUUCACAUGUACCUCCAACAAAUAUUGCCGUCAGAUCCACCAUCACCACUAAUAUCUGUACCUGUACAACCAACAAAAACUAUCUAAAACCCCCCAAUAACACUAAAACAACUCCCAAACCACCACAACACGACGCCACCAUUGCUGAAAGCCAUAGCAGGCCCAAACCACCACUACCACCACCACAAGCUUCGACACUGCCAUCACCGAAAAUCACAGUAGCCCCAAACCAGCUCUACCACUACCACAUCCCGAAGCCGACACUACUGAAAAUCACACCGGAGAUCAUAGCGACCAAGUUUUUAACACCACAAUGCUUACAUUCCUGACAAGCAGCCUCCACCACCACCACACCCCAACGUCUCCAUCUUCGAAAAUCACAGCAGUCCCAAACCACCACUAAUACCACCACUGAAAACCAGGCAGCUCUAAACCACUACUACCACCAUCACACCUCGACGCCGCCACACUAGUUGCUAUGGUGACCGCACUUGGGGAGAGAAAAAGGCAUCGCCGUUAGGUGGUAGUGACUGACAAGGAUACAGUGAAGUUAGAGAGAGACGAGAGAAGUGAGAGAAGGAAGAUGGAUUAAAAAUGAUUAGGGUUUGGGAGUUAAUUUGGAUAUUUAAUUAUUAUAUCAAUACCUGAUUUUUGCAUAAUAAAACUUGAUCCAUGAUUUUUGGAUUGUGAUCUUUAAAUCCCCGCUAUUAUGUAAUUUCCACAUUUUUUUCUACAUAUCAAUUUUCAAUCAUGUACUUACACAAUAAAAUAUUUUGUACGUAGAUUUAAUUUUUUUCUUAUUUUUUAAAUAUAUAUUUCUUAAAAAUGACUAUUCAAAAUAUUAUUUUGACCAAAUAAUAAUCAUCAAAUAGUGGCUUAAUAAAAAGAGUAUUGCUAUUUAACCUCACUGGGUGAUACAACGUGAUAUUAAUUGAUAGAUUCAUUUAAUUUCACAUUUCAUUUAAGCUAUUAUUUAAUUCCAUAUAAAUUUAAAAAAAAUUCUUAUUUUUUAAACAUAUAUUUCUUAAAAAUGACUAUUCAAAAUAUUAUUUUGACCAAAUAAUAAUCAUUAAACAGUGGCUUAAUAAAAAGAGUGUUGUUAUUUAGCCUCACUAGGUGAUACAACGUGACAUUAAUUGAUAAAUUCAUUUAAUUUCACAUUUCAUUUAAGCUAUCAUUUAAUUUCAUAUAAAUUGAUAUUGCAACCUCGGUGACACUACGUGUCUUUGCAAUGGUUUCAAAUAUUUCUAUCUUAAAAAAUAUUAAAUUAGUCACAUUUGUCAACCAAGCAAACUACAUCGUUAAUGUCUUCGACACGUAGUCAAUGAAUUGGAACCCUCCGGAAAAUUGCAUUUAUGGGUCUCCAUUGAAUUCAAAUUUUGUACGUUUUCUUUUUCAGCUGCCAGCUAUAUAAAGCCCUGUCUUCCAUUCCCACUCUCCAAAAUUCCUGAUUCGUAAUCUCUCUCUACAAAAAACGCGCACUCUCAUUUUAUAUAUAUCUAGAUACGCGCUUGUGUGUAUAUAUAGGUGUAUCGAUCUCUGUAGCAGUCUGUUACUGUGUAUACAAAUUUGCAGGGAGGAUCGACGCUAAAGAAAUUGAUCGGAGCUGUUCGGAUCGCGAUCAGGAGUGAAAGUUCGUUAUUCAGAUAAAUUUUGAUGUUAUUUUUCUGUCUUUCCUUGGUGUUGUUAUGACUUUGUGUUGACUUUGAAUUUUAAGGUAUGAAUUUUGAGGAAAUUUUAAAGAUUUGAGAGUUUUCGUGGACUAGAUGUGAAAAAAAAAAUGUGGAACUAAGUCUUCUUGGUUUACGAGAGAACAUCUGGGUAGAAUUGACGGGAGAUUCGAAUCUUCGCUUUAUGUGUAGUUAUCACUUGGAUUUCUUCUCUUAUCUGGUUUUCGGAUUUCUUCCGAAUCGAUCUGAAAAGAAGUUUUACUGUUUUUAAUUUUUUGAUAGAAUGGUAAUGGCUAUCAAACUGCAUCUCGCUUGGAUGUAACUGACUUCUCUCUCUCUCUCUCUCUGGGAGAGCUAUGCAUAAAUAAGUGUUUGUUUCAUGUUAUUGUAAAUCGAUCACAAGUACGUAAAUUUGGUAAAUUUCUGUCUAUGCAUGUAUCGCUGUUGAUUUGUAUGCCUGAUAUUUACGAAUAUCUGGUGUAUAUGUAAAUUUUCUCAUGAAAUGUUCAAAAUUGUUCGAUUCAGUCCCGAUGGAUGUCCCCCAACUCGAUCCUUAAUGAGGCUCGGCUUGUUGAAUUAGGAUCCGUGUGUCCUUGACUUGUCCUCUUGUUGAUCAAGUUUUUUUAUUAGCUUUGGUUAAUUGAUGGUUCUUGUGUGUUUUUGCUUUUACUGACUUGUCCUCUUGUUGAUCAAGUUUUUUUAUUAGCUUUGGUUAAUUGAUGGUUCUUGUGUGUUUUUGCUUUUACUAUACGGUUAAAAGAAUCCAAGGUGCUUAAGGAUGGAAACUUUCCUAGAUACAAUUAGUCACGCGAUAUUGCAGGAGCAAUAUGUUUAGAAUCGAGUAUGAUGCAUUUAUCACUUGUCCAAGAUAAUUUUUGUGAUUAUGGGGAUGAAAAUACAUCUUCCUGUCGCAUUUUCUCCUAAUCUAUUGAUAUUCUAACCAACUAAUUUCUUGCCAUUUAGUUAACUCUAUGAUCGAGUUUAUUGUGGAAAUGACAAAUCAGGUUUAUCGUCCAAGUGUCAGUUGCUGGUGGAUCUUUACAGUGUUGGAUCCACAUAGGAUUGUUUGUAAAUCUUUUCGACCUUGGUUCCGUAGGAGCAAGUUAGAAAGAUUGAGAGAUAGAACCAUCCGAUUUAAUUCGUUCUCAAUAGUCAUGAAAUGAUCAUCUGCUUUAGGAUGGAAGCUUUCCUAGAUACAAUUCGUCAUUCAAUAUUGCAGGAACAAUAUGUUUAGAAUUGAGUCAAUUGACUGAUGAUGCAUUUAUCACUUGUCCCAGGAUUUUUGUUGUGAUUAUAGGGAUGACAAUAUAUUUUCCUGUCGCAUUUUCUCCUAAUCUAUUGAUAUUCUAACCAAUUAAUUUCUUGCCAUUUAGUUAACUCUAUGUUCAAGUUUAUUGUGGAAAUGACAAAUCAGGUUUAUCGUCCAACUAUCAGUUGCUGGUGGAUCUUUACUCAGUAUAGGAUCCACAUAGGAUUGUUUGAAGCAAGAACUUUGAUUGUAAUUACUCUUUUUGACAUACUUUAGGUCACUGAUGAGAAUUGAUGUACGUUAAGUGGCCAAUGCUUCUAUCUAUAUUGUUAUUCUAUAGAUAAAACAGACCAUUUGCGAACUUAGAGAUUGUUCGUUGGAUAUUGGAUUUGCAAUCAAAUUAAGAUGAACUUCGACGCCCACUAUGUUUUAACAGGCUUGACGUGCCAUAUUCUUUUGUUUUAGUUCCUGCCAUCCACUAAUUAAGACAACUCAGCUUAUUUCAGGAAGAAUUAAUCAUUAUUGCUGCUUAUAUUUUUAGAACUAUUCUUUCAUUACAACCAGCCAAAUCUAAGUGUUACCUGACCCUACAUAAUGUGGCCGAAUUGGUUUCCUACUUAUAAUGGAGUAAGUGGUGAUGAGCUCUUGAAGUAAGGGUCUAGUUGUCUGGAAGAGGUAGAGAGAUCCUUGGUUGCAUAAGGCUCUCAUUGCUGGACGAGCUUGCAAUGUUACAAUAUCAUCAGCUAGAUUAGACAGUAAUAAUAACAGAAACAGUAGACAUGCUAGUUUUGAGAUUCGUGGAAGACACUAAGAGAAUAAAUUAACAUGGUAGUAGAUAGGGGAGAAGUCUCUCCACCUCAAAUUAGAGGCCUUUUUUCGUCAUUCCCUUCUUUUUCUUCUUUCCCCAUUUUAGUGUAAGUUUUUCCUCAAAGAAGACAUUGCGGAAUCAUGGAUUGAGGUAGGCCUCUUCUCAACGAACAAGGAACGUAACUGGUCCUACAAACUCACAAACUCCUUUUUGUUCUGUCUUAAGAAUGCAGUUGAUACAUUUAUCUAUUUGCUUUGACCAUAGGUUGAGCUGUCCAUGCUUAGAUGGAUUUGGACUCCAAGAAUCAAGUGUUGUGCAAUGGUUACUAUCCACUGUUGGAAGCUUUGGAAUUGUUGUAGAUCUACUUGUUUUGAUGAAUUCUCCUACUUGGAGUUUCCUGGCUGGAGCAGUUCAACCUUUGUUGGAUUUUGUUGUUGCUGAUUCAAUUGGUCUGCCGCGACAUGCAAGAAAGGCGUGGCGACCUGAAUAGAUAUGCAUGAACAGGCUUAAACAUCUCCUAAGUUAAUUUUUGAAUGCAGGUGCUUUAGGACCAUUCCAGCUGCUAGGUACAUUUUUUCCAAUCAUAAGAUAAGAUGGCUUCGAUAGCUGUUGAUUAUUCUGGAUCUCCACAUUUUGAGCGAAAACCCCAACAAACUAUAUUCACUGAGAAAAACAACUUUGAGGCCGGGGACUCAGACUCGCAGCAGUUCCAUGAAGGGUGCAUUCCUGCUAAGGACUUGAUUUGUCGGGAAAAAGUUAGUAACACGGAAAUUCACAAUAAAGGAUACUUGGAAUAUGGGUAUGCAUUUGUGGCUGUAUCCAUGGCUAUUUGCAAUUUAUGCAUCUGCUAAAUUUUUUUGCUAAUACUGAUGAUUUCUAUUGACAGGUGUUCCCAUUAUCGUCGAAGGUGCCGCAUCAAGGCACCGUGUUGCAACGAGAUUUUUGAUUGUCGUCACUGUCAUAAUGAAGCAAAGGUAGAUGUCUAUCAAUUCAUUUUCACCGAAGGUUUACUUUGUGUUUAUUUCUUUGGGUUCUAUCAGAUGUGUGUAUUUGGCAAAGAUAAGUAUGACUCAAAAAUGGCAUUCUAUGUGAAAUAAAAAUUUCGUGAGAUCAAAAAAUUCAAAUGCUAAAAGUUGUACAUUGUUUUGAAAUUUCAAGGUAUAGAACACUUAUUAUGAAUCCCCUGAACCGGUCAUCUUUCCUUUUUACGGUUUCUUUUUCAGCUUUUGAGGGGUUUGGAUUACAUUGAAUUUAGAAAAUGGGUCCGUUGUUUUUUGUAGUCUUUUAAAUAUUGCAAAAGAGUGACAUGAUGCUGAUCAUAUUUUAUCUUGGUCAACAGAACAAUAUUUGCAUUGACCAAAAGUUCAGACAUGAUGUCCCUCGCCACCAAGUACAGAAGGUAGGCUUUUUCUCCUGUCUUAACCCGUUCCACUUGUUCACAUGUUAUGUUCCCGAAUUUAUUUCUUUUACCGUGUUUUUGUGCCCUUCCUUUUUCUUUCAUGCUUGAAAUACUGGAGUUGAUCUUAAAAUGAUUUUUCUCUGUCUUUUGCAGAUCAUAUGUUCACUUUGUGACACUGAGCAAGAGGUUUGUUUUGUGAAGCGUGUGCUUUAUUAUAAUUUUCUAAUUGAGAUUCCUGGCCUCCCUAAUAAGAACACUGCAUUGAGUUUAAAGGAUGAGCUUUACAAAUAGCUCCCAUUUGUUUAUCAUUUUUGGAAGAAUGAGAAUGAAAAAUAUAGUCGUUACGGGCCCCACACAAGAGAUAGAAAUUCAAAUUUGGUGGCUUGAUGUGAUGGAUAACGAUCAUAUUUUUUAUUUUAAUGAAGAAAUAAUGGGAACCAAACACGGGCUAAAUAUUAUCUGGGUCAAGGCUUCAUUAAUUCAUUACUUGAGACCUGCUGAAUAUUUGGUUGAAUUCUGACUCUGUGUGUGUGUUGGGUGGGAAGAUGGCCUUCCAAAGAAAUUUUUUCUUUUUUCUUUCCACAGUUUUCUUUUUCUAUUCAACUGAAAUCUUUUUUCCUUGUCCCGCGGUUAUUCCAGGUUCGACAAUUUUGCAUUAAUUGUGGUGUAUGCAUGGCUAGAUAUUUCUGUGGAAUCUGCAAGCUGUUUGAUGAUGAUGUAAGUAACAUGCAUCCUCUCCGAUGAUAUAGACCUUUUUCUUGAACAGUAAUUAUCUGUUUGGAUCAACGGGUGUUGAUAUUUAACCGGACACAACCUGUGUCAAUACUAAAGUACUUGGUGAAAUGUGAAAUGUUUUUAUGAUGUAGACUGCUAAGUUGUACACGCUGAUAACAAAAUUGAAUUGCCAUUUGUAGAUCUCAAAAGGACAGUUUCACUGCAGUGGGUGUGGCAUAUGCAGGUAUGAUUGCAACUCCAGACAAACCCAGCCCUCCCAUUAUUUCUGAUAUCACCUUUAAUUUAGGUCAUCCUUGCUUCUAGAUAUUGUUCUUUUGAACUAGAUGAAAAUCACAGUUCCCCAAAAAAAUAUAAAAAAAUAAAAAUGUAUGACAGAGAUGGCAUACCACGAUAGCUGGAAAUUAUAGAAUAAAAGUAAUCGAGGCAAAACACGAAGAGGAAUGGAUAACUUAUAUAACUGUUGUCUUUUAUACUAAAAAGGUUAAAGACUAUUUAGAUGAUUCCUAAUAACCUUCGAAGGAAAUAAUCUGUUGACAAAGUCACUAUUAUGGAAAUAAUCACAUAGAGUUAACUAGUGAAACACCUUGAUUUCUGGACUUUCCAAGAUAUUCAAUGUGUAAGAGGAAAGAAGACUGGUGAAUGAGGAAAGUCAAAUCUUCCAACACUGACGAUUUGUACCUUGGAACGAGGGUCACUGUCAAUUCAAACAAGAACCUUGAUAAUCAAGACACACUUUAAUGUAAGACAUAUAAUCGCCAAUUAGUUUUUCUUGUUAACAUUUUGAAGGAAAUUUUCUCAUUAGUUAGUCGAAGGAUUUCAUCAUAUGAUUGUGAGGAUGCAUGAUUGUGUUUGGUUUCCUGCUGCUAACAAUUACUCUGUUUCAGGGUUGGAGGGUCUGAGAAUUUCUUCCAUUGUGAUAAUUGUGGUAGUCUACCUCUCCCUUCACACCACCCCAACUAAAAAAAUAAUUUAUUACGCAUUUAUGAUAAGCGUUGCUUCCUGGUUCUUAUCGUCUUCUUUGCAUGUUAUCUAGGAUGUUGCUACUCGAUCCUUCUGAAAAACAGCCACCCCUGUGUGGAGAGAGCAAUGCAUCAUGACUGCCCUGUAUGCUUUGAGGUAAGAACGACAUUUAAUUUGUCAAUACUCGAACUUUCUUUCCCACUUUAUGUAGAGUUCCUUUUGCGAAUUUAUUAUCUCUUAGUGCUGCACUGAUGGUAAGGUCCUUCUCUCCAGUACCUUUUUGAGUCGAUGAACGAUGUAACUGCUAUGCCAUGCGGCCAUACCAUUCACCAGAAAUGCUUGGAGGAAAUGCAGGAACACUACCAGUAAGUGAAGAUUUUACAUGUUUUUUUGUUCUCUAGGCCCUGUAGAGGUUAUAGUUUUGUUAUAACGAUUAGAAAUUGAUUGAUUGUUGAACAGAUAUGUUUGCCCUCUCUGCUCCAAAUCAGUUUGUGAUAUGUCAAAGGUGUGGGAGAAGUUUGACCUGGAGAUUGCAGCUACACCCAUGCCAGAAUCUUACCAGAACAAAAUGGUAUCUCUCCUCUCCUCUCUUUUGUCCCUCUCGUCUCAAGUCUUCCAUAAAUGUUGUACGUGAGAAGUCAUGUCGAAAACCAAAUUUACGUAAAUAAAUGUGUCCCUUACUUGAAAACCUAAGCGUGUGUUAUAUUCUAGCAUACACAGAAUGCUGAUCGAACUUUGAUUAACAGGUUUGGAUUCUCUGCAACGAUUGUGGAGCCAAUUCAGAAGUGAAAUAUCAUGUUGUGGCCCAGAAAUGUCCUAAUUGCAAGUCGUACAACACCCGUCAAACCAGAGGCAAUAGCAUAUAGGGAUAUAUUCACUCUUUAGUGCAAUGAAAGCAAUCGCUUUUGCUGGAAGCACUUUGGGUUCUCUCUCCUUUUGUUAACUUUGUGUCGUAGCUUUUCAAAGUUGUUAUUCUUUUAUUGAAUUUCAUCUAUGCGUGCUAAUGAUUCAGAAGUAGAAUAAGUUCGUUACUUUUGUCUCCUUUUCUUUAAAAUUCUUAUGUUCUUGUACUCAUUUUUGAGCAAAUAUUUACAUAAUAAAUAUUUACUCAUAAAUUUAAAUUUUUUCUUUAUUGUUUAAUUACAUAUUCGUCAAAAAAAAAAAUCACUGGUCAUAAAUAUUUUUUUUCUCAAAGGCAUUUUAAUUAGGAAUUUGAGUAGAGGCUAAAUUUUUUGCUAAUUUUUGACUUUGACCGCAAUCUCUUCCAUGUUGUACGUGGUAUAAGGACACGCAAUAUCAUACAAACAAUUUAAAUUCAGAUGGAAAGAUCAAAUCUUACCGUUAUGAUUUUCCCUGCACUAAGCUAUACCUUCAAAUUUUGAACUCUUGAUUUUGAAUGACAACACGUUCUUGUCUACGUUGAGCCUCUGAGUUUGAGAUUUAAGUGAGUUGGAGAUUGUAUCAUGUUACAAGUAUAGAAUUUUUUAAAAGAAAAAUUUUACAAACAACACAUAAUACGACAUUAUUCAAAGAUGAAAAAAAAAAAAAAAACAGUGAACUUAUAUUUUGUCACGUCAUUGUUGGUACAAAUUUUGUUAAAUUUUUUUUGUACUUAUAGAGAAGAAUUUAAAGAUCAUUCAAUACUGAAAACAAUAAAAUCCUAAGUACACAAAAAAUUUUAAUAGAAUUUGUACCAACAAUGACAUGGCAAAAUGUAAGUGGAUUGUUUAUUUUUUUCAUCUUUCAAUAAUGUUGUGUCAUGUGUUGUUUGUAAAAAUUUUUUGUUAAAAAAUUCUGUACUUGUAGCAUAAUUCAACUAAAAUGUAUGGGUUUUCCUAAUGCGACAUGGUUGGGGAUAGGCCCUGUGAUGGGGACCACCUCAACCCUUGACACCUAAUGUGUUAUCGACAGUAUCUUAGAUAUUAAACUCAAAUCAAUAAUUAUUUUUUUUAUUAAUUUUUUUCAUUAUUCUCGAAAAAGCUCGCUCGGUGAUUUUGCUUAAAGGGCUUGAGCUGCCACUAUGGCGAAUGUAUGCAUGUGCAUAUUAUACACGUGUAAUGUGAUCUGAAUCAUUUAUGUUUAAAUUUAUUUUGUUAGUUUAAAGAAUUUUCUUUAGAAGAAAAUUUAUUUUUUGUCAAGUUAAAGACCACAAUAUUAUUUAUGUAGGAUAAAAGUAAUAAAGAAUUAUUAAUAUUUUAUUAACAUUUAUUUAUUUAUUUUUGUUCGUUUCAGAAAAUUAAUCCAUUAACCCACCCACGAUUUUAAUUAUAUUUUCUUUUAUGUAGGUUUCUUAAUAAAAGCCAUGUUUAAUUCAGUUUGGAGUUCUCAAUAUUUUGAAUAUUGAAUUUUUGAAUAAUGUAAUUAAAAUGUGGAGAAAAAUUUUGAAUUUAAAAGCAAAAUAUUUUAUUAUGGAAAUUUGUGAUUGAAAAUGAGUAUGUAAAAAAAAAAUGAAAUAAAGGAUGUGCAAUUAUUAAAAUUUAAAUUAAAAUCAACAAUUAAUUUUAAUCACAUAUUUCGAAAAACCCACUAGUUACCAUGCUCUUCACACAAGAUACCUCAAUUCUCAACUGGCCUAACAGAAGACAUAUCCAUCAGGUAUUCAUCCGACAAUCAAAUGAUAAUUUACAAAGAUCACGAGGAGAUAAAGUUUAUCAGAUUGAAUUGUACAAUACAAAAUACUUUUGAAAUAUGUAUACAAUUGAAACUUUUGAAAACUUUGAUAAACUUUUUUUAAGCGAUGAUUUAUGUGGAUUUCGUAAAUUUGUAUUGAAUUAGUAAAAGUCUUUCAUUGACUUCUAUAGAUUUUCAUUUUAAAUUUUUUAUAGACUUUUGUAUAAUUUAAAAGAUUUUUGAAGACAUCCAUUUAAAAUAAAAUUCAAUUGAAUCCCAGUAUAAUAAUGUGAAAUUUUUAUAUACCAGGUGGUGAUUCUCACAAUUUUCCUUCCCUUCCCCAUAUAAUAAAAAGUUAUUUUUAAAAAAAUGAAAAGUCAAUGUAUUUAAAUUUAAUUAUAAAUUCGUCAUGUGAAAUUUAAUAAAAACUAGAUAUUUUUCCCCAAAAAAAAAAAGAAGGAAAGAAGGAAAAAAAAUAUUUAUAAGAAUUCGAUUUAAUUUUGUCACAGAAAAUUGAGAUAAACAAUAUGAAAGAGAGAAAUAAAAAAUAGAAAUAAAUAUAAUCAAUAAAAAAAAAUCAUAACUCUAAUGUUCGUAGAUAAAAAGAAAGAGAAAUAUUGAAGAAAAUACAUAAUAAUAAUAAUAAUAAUAAUAAUAUUAUUAUUAUUAUUUCUGUGGAAGUUUCAAAAUUUGAGAUUUUAUAUGAAUAUUUUCUAUUUAAAAAUUAAUAUCCUAAAGACUUUUAUAAAAAUCUCUAGAAGUUAUUAAAAAAUUUAAAUGCCCCAAAAUUUAUAUAAUUAAACACAUCAUGAUUUUUAGAUACAUUUUAAAAGUCUAUUAAGAUCUAAAUUGAGUAGAUCAAUAUUUCUAGAGUCUCUUAAAAAAAUCUACAUUAACUACCCCAAACUUUUUAAAUUCCACAAAGUUAUUAAAAGUUUUAACUGAAUACACCCCCUUUAACUUAUUUUUCUUCAAUAAUACCUUAUUAUAAACAUAUAUUUCUUGACCUUUUUCAUCACGUGAAAAUUUUACUUCAAGGAGAUGCUGCUUUUUUAGCUACAAGCAUAAAAAGGCACCAACUACAAGCUUACAACGUAAUGACAACAUGUUUGAGUAGUGUGUAUAAACCAUUUUAAUUAUAAAUAGAUAAAAAUGAUUCGUGGAUAAUAUAUAAUAUUUAUAAAUUCCUUGAAAUAUUUUGAUAAAAAGUUAUUUGAGUAUUUAUAAAUAAUCUAUAAACACGAGCCAAACAUGAGCUUAGUUUCAAUCAAGAGAAAUAGCCAACAUUAGUGCAAACGUAUAUAAAAGAUUUUCAUAUUUUAUGCUUCUCACUAAAUACCAUCCGUGAAUCUCAUGAUAAGUACCUAAGCCCCUGUUUGGGGCACAUUUUCAAGGAAGGAAGUAGAAAAAAUUUUACCCUUUUUUUCAAAUGUGGAGUCCACUUAAGAGAGAAAAAGUCAAAUAUGGUGGCUGCAUAGUGCUCUCCAACAGUCACAAUUCUCAUUUUUUUGGAUGAAAAUGUGCCCCAAACAGGGGCUAAAUAUUCUUGAUGAACUUCGAUAGGAGUUUUCCUAAAAACAAUAACAUGAUCUAGUCAUACCUCUUGAUAGAUAGCUACUACAUCAAUUCGCUGAGCUCAUGAGGAAGUCAGAUUAAGACGUCAACUCAUACAGGAGACGUAAAAAAAAAAAAAAGGUAAGGGUUAUACUACAUGUAAUGUACAAGUAGUAUAACAUUAUUGGAGAGAAAAAACAAUUUUUUCACCCUCUAAUAAUGGAAUUUCACAUGUACAUUAUAGACACCCUUAUAAAUACCAUAAUGCACAUAUAGAAUUAUCCAAAAAAGAAUUCGAGUCUUGGCUAUCGCUUCAAGAAUGUAAGCUUAUCCUCGACUUGCUUUCAUUAUCGAUACAUAACAGAAAAUGAGAAAAAACCACAGUAUAUUCAUAAAACCUUUUGCAUUAAAUUUAGUUGAAGACUUGUACAUCAAAUCUAGCGAAUACAUAGUCUACUGCCCUUCUGAAUAAGAUAUCACCACAUAAAAUUCUAGUGAUAUACCAAGAAAGUUAGAAUUAUAAGAGACGAAACACAAUCAACAUAUGCAACAAGUAUCCAAGGCUGCUAAAAGAUGCACAAACAGCUCUCAAUGGAUAUAAGGUCGGGGAUGUAUACCUAAGUCGAGGUUUCCAUCAAUCACGGGCAGUGUCUCAAGAUGACAUAACCACAGCAUCCUAUGUAUCGAUAAACUAAGUGUCGUCGAAACUUUCUUCACAGUUGUUCAACUCAUGAGAGUUUUCUGAAGAAUUAUUUUUGGCUUUCUCCAUCUCCUGAUCAAUCAAAAUCUCCUGCGAGCGGCAACUCCAACUGCAAAAUGCCUUCUCGCCCCUGUCAAGACAUCAAUCGACCAAGAACCAAUUAUAACCUAACGGUGUAAUACUUCAUGCACGUCUAGGAGAAAAAAUUGAGGAAAAUUACACCAUCUGUCCCCAAUUUAAUGCUUGAGUAGCAAGUUGGUCAUCGGCCUUUUGUAAUAGUUGCACAAUUAGUCUCCAACGACGUUAACCAUUCAAAUCUUCGGUUAAUUAUCACAUGGCCCUUAUGAGAACAUGCUUCACUUCAUAUUUCUGGGCAUUGACCCAAAUUGGGAAACAAAGCAUAACUCUAUAGCAUUAGACAUAUGAAGGUCACACGACAAUUUAACAAAUAUCUGAAUGAUUUUUGUGGUUGGAGACUGAUUGUGCAAGGUUGAGUGCAAUUUUCGCAAAAGAUUACUGCAUGUAUCCAGAAAUAAAAGAAGAAAGGAUUGUUGGGGCAAACCUAUACAUGUAAAUAUCUUCCCCUUCCAAUUUCUUCUUGCAAGAGUAACAGAAUUUUAAGAAAUCACUCGGAGGAUAAGAAGCAAUAAUGUCAGAGAGUUCUGCCGCCUGCUGCAAUGCAAUAUCCUCUUCGCUUUCCUUUAAAAAAGUGGUAACUUCAUUGUUGUGACAUUCCAAAACACAGUCACCAAAGAUAUGGGUAAUUUUUGGGUUGGGGCCAUGUUUUCUUACACAGGUAUAGUCUUCAGAAAGCUCAAUCUCACUAGGCGGGAUAUUUCCAAUUAAACCAGUUCUGGAGCCGACGGAUUCCAGAAUUGAACUAAGGUUUUCCUGAGAUGAAUUGCAUAACUUAAAGCUUCGUCCAAUGACUUCCGAUUGUGAAGGCACUGGCUUUAUUGAGUUCUCGGAAUUGAAAUCACCACAUCGCUGAUCAGGCUUCAGGUUAGCUAAAUGUGAAAAAUGCAUUCCAGAAUCUAAUGAGAAAGAGCGGAAAUUAGAGCGGAAAUUUCCAUCCGAUUCCUCUUCAAAUGGGUCUUCCCCAAUUCCAAACAGAACACCAGAAUUGCCCUUUUGAUGAUUUGAUUGUUUGCCUCGGGUACAAGGAAAAAUCGUAAUGUUUUUAGGCAGUGAUUUUGGUGUAUCAGAUGAAUCGGUGUGGGUUCUAAAAUUUGGACUUUUUAUCCUCAUUUGUGGUCCAGAAAGAAUAUUUCUACUAUUGGACAAUAGGAGAACCUUCUCCGAGUGUUCACUUCCAUUUUCAAGACAAUGGAUAAUGCUUAAGCCUACUUUACUACAAUCCCAUCUCUUCUGAUGCCCCUCAUUUGAUAAUUUUGAGACCCUAGAUGGAUUGCUGAGAUUCGAAAACAACUUAAAAUCUAAAGGAGAAGUAGGGCUUCUAAUUGAAUCAGAUUCUGAAUUCUUGGGAUUGAACCCCACAAACAGACUAGGAACAUUAAAGACAGAAAUGUUUUUAGUUUCCUGACCGAAAACAUCAGAAUGAAAAUAAGGCUGUGAAACAGAAUCAGACAUCAAUUGAUCCAUCAGUUGAUUCUUCUGGUUGGAUCUGCUCCUUUUCCUCAGCAUUAUCUUAAAAUCUCAAAAUCUUCCAAACAGCCAAGGCCCCUCUUAAAAAAAUUAUCUGCAAAGAAUAAUUACAUUAAUGAAUUAAUACUCAGAAGAAGAGACGGUAAGAAAGGUGAACACACCAUGAACUGCAGGAAACUUAGCAAUUAAGUGAUGACAGUAGAUAUUAAACAAAGAAUCAAAUUGCAGUUUCUUUUCUCUUGGUUAUUCGUUAAAAAUCAAGAUUUCCAUCAUGGAAUUAUAAAAGAAAAUAAGGACAAAAAGACAGCAAGAUAGUUGAAAACAAUUAAGUGUGAUACACUUCAUACAAUUGAGUCUAGAUUAAGCAAAUUUAGAAAGAAAAAAUAAUAAGAGAUGAACAUAAAGAAUCAAAUUGCAGUUUCUUUCUCGUGGUGAUAAGUUAAAAGGCUAGAUUUUACUAAAAUAUUAAAGAAAAAUCUGUCAGAAUCAAUUGCAUUAUUAUGUUAAUUAACGUAGGAUGAGGAAAAAAAGACAGCAAAAAAAAGAUUAAUUCUAUGAGCUGCAAGAAACUUAAUAAAAUUAUAAGAAACAUUUCUUUUCUUGAUUAUAAGUUUAAAAAACAAGAUUUCUAUGAGGCAAUGAUUAAAGAAAACCUGUCAGAGAACAGCAAUUAUGAGAUGCAACAUUCAAAAAAAAAUGAAGAACGUGAAGGACCUAAAAAAAGAGGAACAAACACAUUUAAAAAAUUCACACAUCAAAGAAAAACAAAAAAUAUAAAACGAAUGAACUUACCCACUAAUGGAAGCCCAGAUUUCAAACAAAAAAUGCUGUGAUCAUGACUACUAAAAAAUUAAGAAAACGAAAGAAAGAAAGAAAACUUUUAGUUUAUAAAUGUUUUUGAUAAAUAUAACACCAAAUAGCAGCAAUUCCCGGAUGACAAAUAAACAAACAAAAUAAGUAAAUAAAAACAGUAAAUUGGUAAAAGCCGUGCCUCUCUGAAGUCUAAGAACAACCAAGAAACUAAUGCAUUAUGUUCAAAUCCAAUACACGAGCCAUGGGAUUCAAAUGAAUAAAUGAGAUGAAUUCUGUGUAAUAUAUAAACAAAAAUAUAUACACACACAAUAGUUAUAGAUACGGAGAAAGAGGGGAAAUUGGGAAAACCCACCUGGUUUUUUUCCCAAAAGAAACUUCGGGGAAAUGGGAUUUGAGAGAAGACCCAAAUGCAGUAAAAACUAAGAAAUAUCUAAAGAGAAUCCCACCCCACGACCCACAGUUUCUUUGCGUGCGUGGUGCAGUACUGCACCUCUCAGUUGCCUCGAAAUAGGAGAGCAGUGAGCUUCUCACGUACCACACCUCCGUAUGUAUUUAUUACACAUGGCAUAUGGUGUUUAUUCAUUUGUUUAAUAUUUUAAUUAGGACUAAUUUGUAUUUGUAUUUAAAAAAAAAAAUGAGACUUUACACUGUUUGGAAGUGAUUUUUUCUCCAAAAAAAUUAAUUUUUUGAUCGUUAUUUCACUAUUUUAGUUGUCAUAUUUGACUUUUUCUCUUACUGGUAGAUUUCACAUUUUUCCUAACGGUCAAAAAAUCAAUUCUUAAAAUCACUCCCAAACAGACUCAGUUUGUAAAUAUUUCUUUAUUUUUUUAUUUUUAUUUAUUUAAAAAUGUUGAUAAAUUCGUCGGUAGAGUUAUUCUGCAUAAUAUUUGGUUGAUUUGAUUUACAAAAAAUGUAAAGGACACACAAUCGAUUGACCUUUAUUUUAGGUAUUAAACACUACUACCAUAAAAGAGUGAAUAUACCAGUUAUUAUUUAUUCAGGACGUAUUUUUACUUUCCUAUUUUACCCUCAAAUAUUUUAGCAAUCACUCUUUCCUCAAAGAAAAUAAGAAAAGACUUGGGCGUAGUUAUUCCAUUUCAACCAAAUUUUUGUGAAUUUUUUUACUCUUGCACAAGUUUACUUGGCCCACAUCUGCAAAAUUUUGUGGCAAGAAAGGGGACAACAAUUGCAGCCGUCGGUCAAAAAUUGCUUGAAAUGUCCAAAAUAUCCUUGUGAUGGUGUAAAAUUUUAAAAAUUUAGGGAUAUCAUGAUAUUUUCAUCAAUCUUUAAUUUACUUGUUGAGAAAGUCAAAAAUUGCUGCAAAACAGUGGUUUUUUCUAUAUAUUUUUCCUAUUUUUCUCCAUUCAUUUGCGUAAUAUCUAUAAAAAAAUAUAUACUACAUUUCUCCGUUCCUUCAUCUCUCCAGAGAGAUGCCCAUAUUUUUUUUCCCACACUCUAAGAAUAUACUGUUCAUUUGUGAAGUGUUUUCAUUUUCUCAUUUUAUCCUUCAAUCCUAUUUUAAUUUUUCAACUUAAUUAAUAUAUCACUACUACUAUAAAAUUAAUUUUUUAAAUAAUCUAAUAAAUUUUUUGACGUCACUUAGAAAAUUUUCUAAUAAACUUUUAAAUUAUUUUUAGUGUCAAAAGAGAUAUCAUUUAAAAAAUUAAAAAUUUCGAUAACAAACUAACUUUAAAAAUUUAUUGACGAUUGUAUGGUAGUCGAAUCCAUAAAUCUUCUAUAUUCUCUCGAACUUGAAACUCGUUUCAAGAACUAUACCAUAAACACAUUGAGUGGUCUAAAUGAAUAUCGAAAAAAAUUAAACGUACAUCAAACAUGUGUAUUCAAAAAUGCGUAUAACUCGUCUUUUUUCUCUAAAAAAAUCAUUCAUUUUAUUAAUGUUUGUUAUUUUUUCGCGAUACUUUUCUUAAUAAUAAUUUACAUCAUCUUCUUAAAAAAAAAAUUAUGUGUAUGACGUUAAUUAUUUUUUUAUACGUAGAAAUUCCUAAUAAAAUUAUUAUCACUUUAUAAUUUAUAUGGUUUAUAAAUUGUUAUACUAUUUUUCCUACUUUUCUUCAUUCCUUUACGCAAUAUUUAUAUAUAAAAAAAACAUUUAUGGCAUUAAAAUAAAAUUUAAUAUAUAUAAACUAACAGCGCGCAUUUAAUAUAUAUAUUGGCAUCUCUGCGCUAAAAAUAAAAUAAAAUAAAAUAAUAAAAUAUUAAUAUAUAUACUGGGCAUCUCCGCACUCGCAAAGCGAAGCAACAUCUCUUCGUGCUACACGGAGAGACAGCUCUCCACUCAGCGCGAAGAGAGUAUUUGGCACAAUUUUUUCCCUCCUUUCGUAAUCGCUUCUCUAUCAAUCACAUCCACUAAUUCUUCUUUCACUUUCUCUUUCCUUUCUCUCACUUUUCCUCGUUCAUAUACCAUUUCCUUUUCCCUUCGGCUCAUUUCCCUUUCCCUUCUCCUCCAAGAGCAAAGGCGUCUCUGGCACUUCGACCCUCGCCCACAUGACUCCUCACAACUGCUUUACCACAUCUUCUCCUCUAACAGAGGUUUUCUUCCGAGCCCCGUCAACAUGGCUGCGGCUCGAACCCAUCUCAAGUGAACAUGGUGGUUGAGGGUAUUUUAGGCCAACUUGCUUGCAGCACCUGCUUCUUGGGUCUAGAUCCAGUUCUACUGCUAUUAGUGGUGUCGUCUCAGGUACUGUAAAAGGAAUUCCUAUUCUACUUCACACCACCUGAAGGUUCGUCUAUUUUUAUGUAUUUAUUCAUGUUAUUUCAUAAAAUUUGAAUAUAUGUGAUUCUGCAGCUUUGUUUUUAUAUCUAUACCACGAAGGAUGGAGAAAGAUUGAUUUUAAUGAGCAUCUUUAGAAGUUUAAUGGCAUUCCUGUUCUUUUUAUCUUUGGGCUCUGAAAAAUGUCCAAACGUGGAUAUAAAUUGCAUAUUGUCUUGAACUUUUUUUUUUCUGUUUAUUAUAUAUGAUUGUAUGUAAAUGCGAAUGUGCAUUUCUCUGUGUAUAUGAAUUCUAUUGGUAACUUUAGUUUACAAUUUGAAUUUUGGUUUCAUAUGAUCUAAGAUGAGCUGAUUUUAGCUUUAUCCAAAAAUUACCUCUUCUUUAUAUUGAUUGCGGACAAAAAUUAAAGGAAUGUUGAAUAAAUUGCUAAGAAAUAUCACUUUUUGUGUGUAAUGCCAAGUGGGAUAGCUAAAAUUUGCAUAUCAGUUCAACUUCUCUAAUUUAAUUUGCAUAUAAGUAAGUGGGAAAAAUUAUCUUGAAUUUAUAUUGACAGCUUGCAGGUAUUCUGCCACUGGCAAUGGUGCACACCUUAAGCAACCUUUUCACCAACACAAGUCUUGGAAAAGUUGCUAUUUCAUUCACUCACACUGUAAAAGCCAUGGAGCCCCUCUUCUUAGUUGUACUCUCAGCUAUGUUCCUGGGACAAAUGGGUGAUUCAUUUUUAUUUUAAUUUCCUUCCUUCUGUGCAUGUAAAUUUAAGAUGAUUAAAUUAUUUCCAUAUUCCAUGAAAGCUGUCCUCAAUUUUUAUGGAGGUAUAGACUUCAGACCAGGUUCCUGGUUGAGAAUGUGAUGGUAUUGUGUAUUUUGGUUAUUGUUUGAGUUGUUCAACUUUUAUAUUUUGGUGUCUAAUUUUGCUCUCCUCUUUGAGCAGUUCCCUACAAUAUGGGUUGUUUAUUCUCUUUUACCUAUUGUUGGUGGAGUGGCAUUGGCAUCAAUGAUUGAGGCCUCUUUUAAUUGGUGAGAAGUAGGAAUGGAUUCGAUGGCAAUAACUCUUACUGCCACAUCUCUUUAAAGCAUGGUAAAUACAUUUGUUUGAGAUAUUCACAUAGAAGUUCUUUUUUGUGAGUGUGUUUUUUGAAGGGCUGGUUUUUGGAGUGCAAUGGCCUCAAGUUUGACCAAUCAAUCUCGAAAUGUCCUUAGCAAAAAGUUCAUGGUCAAGAAAGAGGUAUAUUUCACUCUCAAUUUUGUUUCAUUCCAAUAGUUAACAAUGAAGCGCUGGUCAUUUUCUCAUCCACUUAAAUCACUUUUGCCGAAAUCAGUUGUGGUAAAUUUGUUACCUAAUACUGUCUAGUUGUGACUAAUUGCCUUUCAAGUUAUGCUCAAGUUUGAAUUGCUUGCUUGGAAUACGUACAUGAUCUGUUUGGUUUUCAUGCAGGAAUCUUUGGAUAACAUCACUCUCUUCCGAUAAUCACAAUUAUGUCAUUUUUCUUGUUGGCCCCUGCAGCUAUAUUCAUGGAAGGAGUUAAGUUUACCCCUACUUUCAUUGAAAUUGCUAUAAGUAAAUCUCAAGAACGAAAAUGCUUAUAAUUCUUAUUUAUUAUGCGUUUGAUAAUGAGCAUAUUUCAUAUGUUUGAUCAACGAUUUUGUUCAUAAGAAACAGAAAAAUGUAGAAAUUGACUAUUGUAUUGUUUUCUUCACAUGGGUUGAAUGUCAAGCAGAUUUAUACUAGGUCCCUCAUUGCUGCUCUUUACUUCCAUGCAUAUCAGCAAGCUGUUCAGAUUUUCAGUUAGCGCUGAAGCAAUGAUUAUGUCAUGUGCAUUGUUAAAGUAAAUGCUUAAACCCCCCAAAGCAAAAUGCAAAGAAGUAUAUAUUUGCUAACCUUUUCAUAAUGAAAAUGGUCUUUGCCAUAGUUGCUAAUCUUUUCAUAUUGAUAUUUCUUACAAAAGUUUGUCUGCAGGUUUCAUACAUAAUAUUGCAGAGGGUAUCUCCCGUCACACAUUAUGUAGGUAACUGCGUGAAGUGAGUGGUGGUCAUCGUUACCUCUGUUCUUUUCUUCCGCGCUCCAGUUUCACCCAUUGACUCUUCUGGUAUUUCUCUUAUAAUUAAUGAACUUUAGUCGCAUGUUUGUUCUAAUGGACAAGACAGGCUAAAAUUUUGUUCAUUCCUUUGUCCUAUACAAUCUAAUAUUAUGCACUAAACAUGCAUUGCUGGAAAAAGAAAAAAAGAAAUCGAGUCGCCAAGUACUGACACUAUCUUGCUUGUGGCUUGGCAUCUCUACCGACGAAGUGGAACUUGUUAUUUUAACAACUUUGAACCAUUUUUAUCUUUUAUAUAUUAACUUCCAACUUUUCUGAAAUUUUGAGAUUUGUAUUAUUUCCACAAAUUUUUAUUUUUAUUUUACUUUAUGCUUGGAUCUUGGUAGACAAGUUAAAGAUAAUUUCACAAGUUAACUUCGAAGAUAAUUACAGAAUUGCAUGCAAAUAUAUUUGUUUUAUGUUAAAUGAUGUAUUCUUCACUGAAUUUGAUGUAAAGGAAUUUGACAAGCACAUGUUAGGAAUGUGAAUUGUUUGAACAUUGGGAAGAAGAAUUGUCGGGCAUUCCUUAUAGGUGGAGAUGAUAAAAAAGUUAAUCUUUGGUCCAUUGGCAAACCAUUGGCAAAGCCACAUCUUUAGAGGUUAGUAGAACAAAAAUCUAUUUUGGCAUUCUUUUUAACACAACUAAGUCAUUAUUGUUGCUUGGGCUGCAAACUGUUGGGCAUUGUCCAGUUUCAAUUGAUUGGAGGGAUUCCAUCUCUAUGUAUUUGUUACGUUGUGCAUGGAUUGUAAAGUUAUCAAAUUUAUAGAACAUUGAUGUACCAAAUGAGGAAAAAAUUUAGCUAUAAAAUGGAGGGUAAUCGUGACAAAUUGAUUAUUAAAUGAGGUAUAAUGGUCUUUCCAUUCAUGAAUGUAUCUAUCAAAAAGAUUGUCCCUGGGAAUAAAAUGUGGGAUCAUAAUGCGUUUUCAAAACUUCAUUGCAUCAUUGUCCUCUUUCUUUCUUUUUUCAUUUUCUUCUACAUUCAUCACCUCUUCUGCUUCUUUGUAAAAAUGAGUUUGAAAGCUUUGCUGUCUCAUUUUUUCAUUCUCUAGAGUCCAAAAACAAAGAAAAGCUUCCAAUUUUGUAGAUGAUUGAGUACAACGGCACCCUCUACCAUGGCCUUCUUUCCUCAUUCAAUGAUUGGUUCCUUCUCUUUCUUUCUUCUUUAAGAUUUAUUAAUGAACACUUCUUGUUUAUUAUAUGCGUCUUUAUUUUGUAUGUAUAGUUUGGAAUUGAUGAAUAUGAUCAGGGUUCUUUAACAUCUGCUGCAUAUUAUUUUUACUAGUUGGAAAUUUCAUAUUAAUUAGCUCCAUCUCUCUUUGUUGAGGCGUUAGUUUUAAGGUUCCCCUUUACACGGUCAUUUUGUCAUCUAAUUCACGUUCAAUGAUUUUCUAAUGGAUUAUGUUCGUUAAUGCCAAUUUGUUGGUUUUAGCGACAUGGGUUUAUAUUUGUGUCUUAAAUAUUUUCAAAGUUCUUGUUUAGUAAGCAAAUAUAUAACUAAGUUCAACAAGUAAACAACAGUAUUGUUUUAAUGUACUUCUUUAACCUCCUCGAGAGCAUAAUAGGCUUUAAUAGGUAUUCCAAGCUCUUUUGGUUGUUUUAAAUUCAUAUUUAAUAGCAUGUUGCUCGCUUGUUUUUCCCAUUUUGAAACAAAUAUUAUCUUGCAUUGAUUGGUUAUAUUCUUUCUUAAUACUAUAUAGACAUCUGUGCAAAUAAUUGUCGAGUAAACACCAUCCAAUGACUAAUACAGUUGCAUUUUUCACUGAACGUGCCCAAUUGUUUAAGCACCACCCUGACACUCGCUACCAGCACAAUUCAUAUUGCUAUUUAGACUCCCUCACGUUUGGAACAGGGGAUUGAGAGGCGAGCAUACAAUAAAGCAAUUGAGGCUAUCAAAAGCUUUGACAUUUCCUGAAACAACAAGCGUUAAUGAUGUUUGUGUCGUCAGAUGGCUGCUCGUACAAUUGAUGCCUUAUUGCUUACUGAUUCAAAUGCAUUACUGUGUUGAAUCUUGACCGAUAGGGUAUGGCUUCUAUUGCACAUUUGGUAAAUUUGAAGCAAUUAAAAGUUUAGAUCUUUCUCUUACUCUUGCUUAUCUUCUUCUUCUUCUUCGUCUUUUUAAUUUUUUUUUAAUUUUUUAUUUUUAUUGAAGGAUAUCAUUAUAAGAGUUGUUGCAUGUGUUGUUAAUCUUGGUGAAACACCUAUUUCAAGACUCAUGACAAGAAAUAUUGUUUUGAACUGCUUUUAAUAUUUCAUAUCCAAUGUUAACAUAUUUUCUACUUCUCUUCAUAUAAUUAGCUCUUUAUCUUUAUUGUUUUUUUAUCAGACUUCUGUAUACACCAACUAAAUACUCUCUUCACUUCCCAAAAAUUCAUUCAAUGUACUCCUCUCUCAUGAAUACUCAAUACUCAAGUAACUCAACACACUAAUAUCACCUUCAAGAAAAUUCAAGCCAUGCAUUGCAUGUCCACAAACUAGUUUAUUUGAAAGGAACAAAUAGAGCCCUUGUUUGAGCCCCAUUUUGAAGGAAAAAUGCAUUUUGAAUAGUGUGUUGAUAGAAAAUGUGUGAUUAAAAUUAAGGGAAGUUUUAAAUUUGCGUUUAAUAUUAUUUUAUUAAAGAAUUUGUGAUUGAAAAUUGAAAUAAUGUCAAAAUACUGUUCAAAGAAUGCACUUUUUUUCCCAAAGAAUGGAGAUCAAAUAAGGGCAAAAUUGAAACUAGUUGUGGAAAUACCCUUCUUCCUCCUUUUUUUUUUUUUUUUGCAAACUCAUUUUAGAUAUAUCAACUUUAUGUUAAAUUGGAGAUGUUAGAAAGAUUUUUCAAAUGUAUAGGUGUCUCUAAUAUUGUCACAAAACUUGACUACCUGUAAAUUGUCUUUUAAUAUAAAGAGUACUACACUUGUUUGAGUCCCAUUUUUUUCAAUUAUGUUGCAUCUACAUUCUUAUUUGCACAUUUCUUUACACUCUUUCACAUAAAAAUAUUUACACUUUUGAUUUUAAACUCAUCUAUCACAUCAUUAUACAAAUUUUCUCUACAUAGGGAGGAAUAUCAUCAAAGUGGUAGGGAGGAUGUACAUAUAGUAUUAUUCUAUUUUUUCACUACUCAUUAUUCAUUAAAAUACUAUUCCAAAAUGCAUUUUGGAUAAAGAAAAAAAGGGAUUAAACUACUUGAAAACACAAAGCGUACACUUUGAUUGACACCCCUCUAUAUGUCAAAAUUUGACAAUUAAUUGAAAAAGGUGUUGUCAAGAUCAAUGUAUAUAAAUUUGCCAAUUCAAGUGAGUGUAAAAUAAUAUGUCAACAUUUAUGUACAUGUAGCAUAGUCCUUGUAAAAAAUAAGGAGAAGAGUUUUGAAUUUGCGUAUGAUUAUAUUUUAUUAAAGAAUGAGUGAUUGAAUAUAAGAGAAAUAUAUUUUGGACAUAAUGAAGACCAAACAAGGGCUUUAUUAUAGAAUUUGUGACUUCAAAUAAAUUUUCUAUAAAAAUGUUUUAGGUACUAUUUUGACAGGGCUUUGUUUUUGUUUAUGUUUAUGUUCUUUAUAGAAGAUUUUCAUUAGAAAACUAUUUUAAUUAGUAUGAGAAAAUAAUUUAUAAAAGAGUUUUUUUUCUCAAUAAAAUACUUUUGCAUGUGGAGCUAUAAUUUUUUUUUCGAAUUUUUAACAAUGUAUUCUCAAAAAUAUUACUUUUAAAAAACCAACAUAUCACAAACUCAUAGUGUUUUGUUUUUAGCAAAAUGUAUAAACUUGCCUGAGGUUUACGAGAAUUUAUAGAGACAUCUCUCAUUUUUCUAAAAUUUUAGAAAACUUCCCUUAAGGUUUUAGUUUUUGUAACAGAUUUUUCCAUGUCAACAAAAAGUUUAAAAUAAAUAUACACUUCUUAUUCUAUUUUAAGCUCAUGUUUGUCUUUCAUUUUUCAAACUCUCCGUCUCUCUCUUUUUAGAAACUCAUUUUCAAGUUCCCAUUCUUCCAAUGAAAUAUUUUAACGUAAACUCAAAACAUUUUCUUACUUUUUAACCGCACAUUUUUCAAAAAAUACUAUUUAAAAACUCAUUUUCCCUAAAAAAAAUCUUUUUAAUGAACAUCAAGCAUUGGUUAAAAUUACCAUACUAUUAUAUUUAAAUUAUAUAUUUUUCUUUUCUUAUUUCUUAAGAUUUCAUACUUUUCAUUAGACCCUUUUUGGUUCGGCUAUAAAAUUUAAUUAAAAUCUAAGUCAAAAUUAAUAAUUUUUUUAACCAUACAUUUUAUAGGAUACAAUUUUUGAACCACACAUUCCAUCAUUUUUUUUUAUCAAAAUCUAUUAAAAAAUUGAUUUUUAUCUAAACCAAAUUGGGGCUUAGAUAAAAUAUUUCAUUUAAAAAAAAAAAGUAUCGUUAUAAAUCUUAUUAUAAUAUUUUUAAAAAAUUAAUAAUAUUUUUCAAACAUAAUUGACAAACAAUUAACAAUUCAUAAUAAAUAAAUAUUUUGGAGUAAUUUAAUAAAUGCGACUAACAAUAUUUUCUAUAAAUUGAUUUUUGGUAUUAGAAAUAAUAAUAUCAUAAUACUAGAAAAAGCAAAAAACGAUUAUGGUUCAGUCCAAUAGAGUUUGAGAAGAAUCGAUCGAAUCGAGCGAUUUCGAUCCUAUAAUGGUUCGGUCCAAUGAUUCUGAUAAUUUUUGUCAACUCCAUCUAUAAUUAUAAUACUUUUCAACAGAAUUUUUUUAUAUCUUUUUUUUCUUGAGGAAAAUUACUUUAAAAACUACAAUUAAAGACUAAUUAUCAUAAAUAAGGGGAUUAGUUUAAGCCCUCUGUUUGGUGGGAUUAAAAUUAAAUUUUUAGUAGAUUUUGAUAAAAGUUGAUUAAAUGUGUAGUUGAAAAAUUGUAAAAUCUAUAAAAUAUAAUAUUAAAAUUAAUUGUUAACUUUGACUUAAAUUAAAAUCUAAAUUCUAAUCACAACCAAACAUGGCUAAAUUUCAAAUAUCAUGUUAUAAUAACAUUUCAACAAUUAUAAUUAACAAAAUUUAAUUAAACAUGAUAUCCAUAUUCAUUCACCCCCAAAAUUCAUGGGGCUUUUAUUUAAAAAGUUUAGUCAAAAAAAAGAUUAGUUUAUAAAGUCCACAAACUAAGAGCCCGUUUGAGAGUGAUUUUGAGAAUUGAUUUUUUGACUGUUAGGAGAAAAGUGAGGUCCACCUAUGAGAGAAGAAAUCAAAUAUGACGGCUAGAUAGUGAAAUAACAGUAAAAAAAUCAAUUUUUUGGGUGAAAAAAUCGGGCCCAAACAGGCCCUAAGUUCUUUGGGUAAAAGACCUAAAGAUAUGGAAAAUGAAAAAGCGGCUCUGCUCAGCCAAAAACGCUGAGACCAUUUUUAUUCGAGCCGGCCCAUGCUUCAAGUUUUGGUUUUUGGCUCAACUUAACUCAUUGACAUUCUUAUGUAUUUGGUGCCCACCAACACGUGUCUGUGAUGCAAUGCAAUUCCCGAGGCAAUCCUAAGGCUAUAAUUCCAGAAUUUAUCUCUUACUCUCAGUUAAUCAAGCGGUCAAUAAUUCAUGAAAAAUUGUGUAAGAAUUGUGAGAAGCAAAUGUCAGCAGGGUCCACCACACAUGUGAAUCCAACGUGUCAGAUUUUUUUUAUUAUUUUAUUAUUUUUGGUUUAACAUCAAAAAAUAGGGAAUCCAAUGUACAAUAUAUGAACACCUAUUCAUGAAUGGUAGGAGAUAAUUUCUAUCCAAUGUAUUAUAGCAUGUAUUGAAAAGUGAUUAUAAAUAAUUAUAAAGCGUAAAAAAAUGUUGCCAUUAUUUGUUUAUUUAUCACUUAUAUUUAUUUAUGAACAAAACCAUUUAUAAAUAUUUUUCAAACAAGCUGUAAAAUUAUUUUAUUCGUAUUUAUAAAUAACUUUAUUCAUAUAUAAAAUUUAUAUUAUUCCAUUAGUAUCAUAUAUAAAAUAUUAGGUGCACCAUAUUGAAAUUAUAUUCAUAUACGUGUAUACUUGAUUUAGAUAGAGCAAUAUUUGUCACAUAAAAUCCAUAAAUUUCGAAAAAUAAAAAUAAAAAUUAUGCAUGAGUAAAUGUUUAAGAAAUUAGAGAUGGACAAAACUUUCGAAUCGAAUCGAGUGGUUCUUUUUUAAGUUAAAUACCCAAAAUGUACUUGAAUCGAGAACUGACAUAUUUGGUUUGAUUCUAAGUUCUAGAAGAAGAAUCGAAGAAUCGAAUCUCCCUGAUAUUUUAAAUUUAUUUAUCUUAAAUAACUCAAUUUAUUAUUUUUUAAAAAUAAAUUUGUUAACAAUUAAUUUAGCCAAAAAACCCAAAAUAUGAUUUUUCUAUUUCUAAUUUUCAACUCAAGUCCAUGUUAAUCAAAUCGACCUAAUUUUUACCAAAAUUUAUAAUUCUAACGUAGUGUCAUUUCUUCAAUUCUAGAACAAUCAAACUGAAAGCUUGGUUAUACCUCUCUAAGCUCUCUUCAUUGUUAUGAGCUCGCUAUUUUUAUUUUAUUGUGAUUUUAACAAUCAAAUAUAUGAAUAACUCAACAAAGAGAUACGCAAGAGAUAGACAAAUUGGACUAUGUUAUUUUGUAAGAACUAAAAUUAAAUAUAUCAUUAGUUGAAUUAAUAUAGUAUUGUAAAUAUUAAAAAAACUUAAUCAUUGUAUGGAUCUCAGAAACUGAAUGGAAUCGAAACCUAAUUGAAUUGAAUGGAAUCGAACCUGAACUGUUCCAUAAUUAAAUUUCGACCAACGAUUCUAUUUAUUACAUACUCGAAAAUUCAGAUUUGAUUCAGUCCUCUUUAAAACCGAAUUGGAUCAUUUCCAAUCCUAUAAGAAAUUAUGAUCAUAUCUUUUUUCUUAAUGGAAUCAACAAAUUUCGUUUCUCUUUAAAUAUUUUUUUUAUUAAAAUUAUAUGUGAUUACUUAUUUGAUCCAAACAAUACUCCGCAUGUGAUUGCUGUCCCUUUAUUAAUGGCAAAUGAAUGGUUUCGUUAGUAUUUCAAUGAUCAACUUCUUCCAUAAUUAUAUCUAUACUGCCUAGUAUCAUCAUAAUAUCGGUUUAAUAUAUAAAUAGGUGAAAACUACAUAUGAAAUUAUAAACAAGUAAAUAAUAUUUAUUGAUCUAAUAUUGUAUGAGUAAAAUAAAUUUUGUCAACCGGAGGCUAUGUAAGAACCAAUUGAUGCUAUAAAAUAAUUUCCUUUGAAUUUAUCGGUUCAAGUUAGUCAUUAAAUAUUUACUUUUAUUUUACCAUGUCUUGCUAUAUUAAUGGAGAUGUGAAUAAGCUCCUAUUCAAGCCACGGUUAUACACUAUAUAUAUAUAUAUAUAUAUAUAUAUAUUUUUUUUUUUUUUUUAAAAAUUUAUUUUCAAUCACACAUUCUUCCAAUAAAAUAGUUUUACACAUAAAUCCAAAAAUUUUUCAUAUUUUUUAACUAUACAUUCUCCAAAAAAAUCGCUGUUACAAAAUCCAUUCUUUAAGAAAAUGGGGUCUCAAACAUACACUAUGAUGUAGGAACGAUACACUAGCACGAUAUUUUUACCAUCUAGCUAACCCAAAAGUAGAUUUAAAAUAUGCUUUUAUGUUAAUGGCUCUCAUUCUCUUUCAUUUUUUUCCUUCUUAUUUUCAACCACAUAAUAUUCUAUAAAAUAAUAUUACAUGUAAAUCGAAAACUUUUCAUUCUUUUUCAACCACACAUUUUUCAAAAAAAAUGCUAUUCCAAACAUUAAAAUUUAGAAAAAAAAAAUGAGGGUCAAACGGGGGCUAAAAAUUUCGAAGUUACAUACCUGAAAUUCAAAUUCAGCCAUCAAAGUUAUAUGCAAGCAGUCCCUUGUUUGGACUAACCCAGAGCGAAGGUAGCAAGUAUGGCUUGCUCGACUUGGCUCUCUAACUUAUAAGUAACUAGACGAGUCACAUGCUUUACAGCUUUAUGUGUGAAUCAGAAGUCCAAAAACUAGACAAGUUAGUGGGAUCAGUUUGAUUAAUAAUUAAUCUCGAGUACAUGGAUUAAUUUCACAGGGGUCUGCCAGGUCCCUCACUGUAGCAUGUCCUCACAUGAAAAGAAAAAGAAAAAAAAAAAAAAAAAACUACGAUGGACCCCACUGUGUAUGUGUCCUGGCAGGGGACCUGUUUCACAGGUCCUUCAAGCAGGAUUGAUUUAUUAAUGGCAAUAAACAUUAGUGGAAGACCAAAUCCAAAAUAUAUUCCAAUAUCAGAUUUGUGUUUAUCGUGCCGGACAAGGACUACAUUGACUUUAUCAAUUCAAUUAACUUUUAUGGGAGUUGAGUGUCGACUAAUUUUCUACAUUUCACUAUUUUAUUUGGGGCAUCUCAUAUCACAAGAAACGAAAAAUUCAAUCGUUGAAUACAAUUGUAAAAUAAUUCCACAUUCAUCUCAAUCUAUUAUUUUCAUUCCAUUUUUCUCUUUUUUAUUUUCAACUACACAAUCUUCCGUAAAAUAAUAUUCCAAGUAAACUGAAAACUUUUUCUUCCUUUUCAACCACUCAUUUUUCAAAAAAAUAUCAUUCCACCCAUUUUUAUUUCCAAAAAAUGGGGUCAAACGGGAGCUUAAUGGACUAGCUUCCUAUCUUGACCGUACCAAGCCUACCAUGCCCAUGUAUAGAUUAAUGCUUGGCCAAUUGUGUUAAAAAAUAAAAAAUAAACCAGCCUAAGCAAUUUAUAGGCAACAACAUUAAAAGGGAGACAUCAAAAGAGAUCAAGCUACAAAAAUCUGGCAGCCCAUAUAAUCAAGCAUUAGCUACCAUCUGCUCAUGAAUGUCAGCAUGCAGGCUUCCUUCUUCGCUGCCAGAAGGUUCUUCAUGUGCUGCUUCUGCAUCUGCUCCAUCGUCUCUUUUGCCGGACCAACCAUACAUUUUUCUCCGGCCAUCCCCACGUGCUGCUCGCUCAGCUAAUUUGAUUUCUCUAAAUUGCUCUUCUAAACGAUCCUCAUCUUCAGGUGUGAAGAAAACUACCUCCAUCUCCCCAAGUUGUUCGUACAUCUUAUCAACUUUCGCUUUCCAGAAGAGGCCCAUCUCUGCGUCCAUCUUGUGGUACGGAGUUUUCAGCAAGUACUUGUCAAUCCCGCCUGCCUUAUCGAUGCAGCGGAUAGCGUGCGUGGUUACCUUAACACGAAUGUGGCGAUCAAGAAUGUAGCUGAAGAGUCGUUUCUCCUGCACAUUAGGCUUCCAAUUCCUCCUCGUCCUAUCAUUGUCAUCAAACUAAUAAGAUUCAGAGUGCAAUAUCUUUCAUUAUUUCAUGGACGAGAGUCGAAUAUGCAUAAUGGAACUAGAAAAUAACUUUCCACCAUGCUAACAGAAAUUUAUCAUAUCAUUACAAAUUACUAACUAUACAAUAAUUGCAAGUCAAUCACAACAAUUUACCACAAUACACUUAGCCAAUAUACUAAUUCACAUUGAGGAUACCAAUCUUGGACAGUCAGCACUUAUAAAUUAUAAAGGGUUCUACUUAGUGCAAGUGCUGUACACUUUUACAUUCCCCUCACAAUGAGGAGACCCACAAAUUUUUUAUUCAUGUGGACCCCCCUUAACAUGUGAGGGGACUGUACACCAUGGUGUACCAAUGGUUUUACCUUAUAAAUUAUGUCAAAAGUGGGAAGAUCUCACACUUUAGAUCCUAAUGUUUUCCCCCAUUUUCAAUCAUAAAUAUCAAUAAAACCGAGAGUACAGGCCAUACAGACAUUUUAAUUUAGUUUCACUUAAGUUGUGAUAUUUUGUGCCAAAGAUACACGACAUAUGCCCAAAAGAGUGUAUGCUGUAUUUAUUUGGAAACAAAAGAAGGGACAGCUAAGAGUACAUGUUAUACUGUCAAAAAUUGUUUAGAAAAAACCAAAUGAUACCCGCUUUAAGGCCCUCCUCAAAGUGAGUUGAACAAAAGGCCUCAAGGCCCUAAUAAUGAGGCAGUUUUUGGAGUUGUACGCCGCACAGCACCACCUCAAAGGCUUGUGGUCCGUAAAACAUAAACAUUUGUGAUAAACCCAUUUUUGAGAAUAGCCCGCUAAAACAUAAAACACUUUGGGUACAGUCCACUGCCCCUACCAACUAAAAUAAUUUUCUAUAUAGUUUUUUUUUUUUUUUUAAUUUGUUUGCACAGUUUAAAUUGUUCGAUUAUGAAUUUUGAAGAUUGUUUAUGACAUAUUAUGAACUUAUUUUGGCAUUUUAAUAUCUUUUUGGUUUACUAUGAGGCUUAAGCUUCGCAUCGUGAAGGAAAAAUGCCUGAGUACCCAAUUACGUCUUUUUAAACAUUGCGGUCAAAUUCCAAAAUGGUAUCAGAGUAGACGUAUUAUACUUGCCAUUCACAAACCAUGUAUACACGGGCCAAAGUUGUAGAUAACCAUUUGCAGAAACUGGAUUUAGAGGUUGCAGAUAUGGGUAAAGCCUUCAAAGCUGUUACCAACAAACUGGAAGCCAGAAUGGAGUCUUCAGAGCAAACACUUCAGGUACUUUGUCAUAGGCAAAUGCUGUAUUAGACAUAAAUCAAAAGUAUGAAAAAUUAGCGACUAUAAUGGCCCAAAUGACUGCUGAUUUUGAAGCUGAAAAGGAGAAUAAGAGUGUGGAAGGAUCCAUGACUAACAUUAGAUCUGGUAGUAUGUUAACCAUACAAGGAAGUAGUGGUCGAGAGAAUAGUAGCCGUUCUAGACGUAGAAUCAGGGAAGGCACUAAUCUACCUAAAAUUGAUUUCCCACACUUGAAGAGGGACCUAAAGAAUGGUUGAGGGGAGCCAGAAAAUACUUCCAACUCCGUCAGAUUUCUGAUGAACUGAGGCUGGGAAUGGCUGAGAAGUACUUGACGGGGAAAGCAGAUAUAUGGUUUGAUGGGUUCAUUGCCAGUCACCCUAAAGCAGACUGGAGCUUGUUUUCUGAGAAGCUUUGCAGUAGGUUUUCGGAAACUACUGGGGAAGAUGUGGUUGAGACAUUUAGCAAAAUUAAACAACUGGAAACAAAUGAUGAUAAAGGCUCUGAAUCAGAACGUGAGGAGAUCAUGGAGAUAUCCAUUAAUGCAGUGGUUGGGAGGUGGAAACACCAAACCAUUAGAGGUUCUAGAAUGAUCAAAGGGAGGAAGGUGUCCAUACUGAUUGACAGUGGGGAUAUUAAUAGCUUUGUUGAUGAGAAACAAUUAGGGAAUUGAACUACGCCACUGAUGAGAACAACUGAGUGAUCGUUAGGGUAGUCAAUGAUCACAAACUGGAAAGUAAAGCUGCAUAUCAACUAGUGGUUUGGAAGGUAGCAGGGAAUUUCAAUACAAUCUCAAAACUCUUAAGCUUGCAGGAAGUGACAUGAUGUUAGGAGAAAAAUGGAUUCACAAAUUUGGUCCAAUCAACUUUGACUAUGCAAACGAGCGUAUUAGAUUCAGGAAUAAUAAUGCAGUGGUGGAUUUGAAGAGUGAAAUUUCAAAACAUCCUGUCAAAAUGAUGAGAGUAGAAGGGAUAGAGAGAAUGUUAGGUAAGGACCCAUAUGGGAUAGUGGGACAGUUCUACACUAUCAAGGAGGAGAAAGGUGGGGAUAUACCUAACAAGAUAAAUGAAGGUUAUUCACAAAUUUCCAACGGCGUUUGAAGAACCAACAGAAUUACCCCCUCCUAGGUCACAUAACUCCCAUAUGCCAUUGAAAGAAGUGGCACAGCCAUUUAGAAUGAAACCUUAUAGAUGUGUGUAGAAAUUGGGUUGCUGCCUUUUUGAAGCCCAAAGUUAAUAUGCCCAACCCAAGACCCGGUUUAAUGGCCCAAAAGAAAGAAUAAUCUGGAAGCUCAAUUGGUUUAAAGGAAAAACACGUUUUUCAGUUGUGAAAAACACGUUUUUCAGUUGUGAAAAACGACUUUCACUAGAUCUCGACAUUUGGCAAUUGCUGGACCAUUGAAUCAAAUGAUUUGUUUCUUUCAUAUAAAAGAAACUAAAACGCCUAGGGUUUGCUUGCUCUCAUUUUACGCAGCUUUCCUUUGAGUUAAAAAUUCUCUCUAUACUUUGGCUCUCUCAUCUUGGAUCUUGUCGAUUUUCUGUUGUUGGUUGAGAAUAUGUGUGAUGUUAUGAACUCUUGUGUGAGUUCUUCGUGUUGUUGAGGGGAUUUUGUUGUUGUUGUAGCUGGAAUUGUGUGUUCCGUUUGUAACUCAAAACUGCUAUAAUUUUGGGCUGGUGAUUUAGUGAAUUCGAGCUUAUUCCUUCAUGGAUGCUCAACGGGGACUAGGCGAUCUGACAAAUCGCUGAACCUCGAGGCUUAGGCCAAAAAUCGCUUGUGUUCUUUUACUGUUUUUCAGAUCUACAAAUCUUGAGGCGAUCUGACAAAUCGCUGAACCUCGAGGCUUAGGCCAAAAAUCGCUUGUGUUCUUUUACUGUUUUUCAGAUCUACAAAUCUUGAGGCGAUCUGACAAAUCGCUGAACCUCGAGGCUUAGGCCAAAAAUCGCUUGUGUUCUUUUACUGUUUUUCAGAUCUACAAAUCUUGAUUUUUAGUUUUGCGAUUUUUGAUGGUUUUAAAACGUUCCUAGGUUCCUACAGUGAUAUCAAAGCUUGGAAUUUUUUUUUCUUUGCUGUUUUCAGUCACGUUUUUAGUUGAGGAUCUAAAAUUUCGUUCACUGGCCGAAAGGAAAACGACAGAUCUUUCAAGAUCUACCAACAUUAUUUUUUAAAUUUUCUCCAUUUUUCUUUUGAAUAAUCAGUGUGGGUGUCGCUUUUCUUUAAGAAAUCGAAGUUUUUUUGUUGGUUGUGGAGUCCUCUUAACUCCGGCUGGCGCUGUUUUUAUAACUGGAAAGAAAGUUCUUGAUACUGUAGGACUUGAUCACCUGCAGUGUUGGUGUUGAUCUUCGUUUACAAAAUAAAAAAAGCCUAUUGUGUUUUGUAAAUGCUGCAGUAUAGUGAUAACCUUUGAGUAUAUUGUAAGCAGUAAGCUAACCUGUUUCUUGGUGAAAUUCACAGACGCUCCUUGUCUGUUUUGUGGUACUUACAAUCUGCAGACAUUGAAUUUGUGAUUAAUAAGAUUUUUUGUAUUGAAUUGUUGGUACAUUUAGUUCUUGGGAGUAUUGUUUUGGUAAUAAAAUCAUUUUUCUAAAACUAGAGUUUUACAGAACCUCCUCUAACUCUACCUCUGUCUAGGGUUCCCUGAGAGAACCCUAGAAACUUUGGGGAUUAGGGCUUCGGUUCAAGAAACCUGGAAUCUUCAAAAUUGUUUUUAAAAAAAAUAAAAAAUUCUCACUGUGUGUAGAUAAUAAAACCAAAAAUUAUAUUUCCAUAAUUAAAUUCUUGUACAUUCUAUGUAAAUUGUACUAAUACUUAAAUUGAUCUUCUCAGGUGUUGAACUGCCUAAGAAUAAUUGCUUUAAAGGUACAUACAUUGCAUUUACAAUUUUUGGUAACUUACUGUGUGUAAGUUUAUGUGAUUAAAUUCAUUGCAUGCUUAGUGAUCUGUAUAUUGAAUGUGUCUUAAUUUGGUUGAAAUACUUCUGUACAUAUCACACUUAAACAUAAUCUAUACAUAAUCUAAAAUUGAAAUAAUAAGACAGUGAUCUUUGUGACAUACUGUUGACUGAAUUACCAUGUGAUAUAUCUGUUUUAUCAUACUUGUGAACAAUUUCACACUAUAGCACACCAUGAACUCUAAGGUAGAUGUCCAAAUUUGGGAUGGCAAAGGAGACUUUAGUCUCUAGCGUUAGAAAAUAAAAGCACUUAUGUUACAGUUAAAAUAUGCUAAGGCUAUUGAUGAAUUUUGACCAGAAACCUUAUCUGAAGCUAGGAAAACUGAACAAGAUGAACUAGCUUGGAGCACUUUGUUUCUACACUUAUCUGAUACUGUGAUUAGGAAAGUAGGAGAAACUAAAACUGCCGUUGAAUUGUGGACUGCCUUAGAAAAACACUACCUCACUAAGACUGUACCAAAUAAAUGUUUUCUUUGGAGACAGUUUUUUAGUUUUAAGUUUGAUUCUAAUCUUGAUACGGGAUAUAAUAUGGAUAGGUUUAAUAGGAUCACACAAGACUUAGCAAACUAUGAUGAGAAAAUUUCUGAUGAACAGAAGGUAGUUGGCCUACUUAAUGCUCCAGGAGAUAAAUAUAAAGACAUAAGAAAUGCUCUAAAGUAUGGUAGGAGUGAUCUCAUUGUUGAAAUAAUUCACAAUCCUCUUCUGAAUAAAGAACUUGAAUUAAAAUCUGAACACAGAGAAGUGUUCCAUGUUGAGGGUGUGUCAUCAAACCAAAAACCACAUGUUAAAGGAGUAAGUAACUUCAGUCAUUCCAAUUUUAACAAGAACAAAAAUUUUAACAAAAGGCAAUGAAAUAACACCAAAGGAAAAGGCAAGAAUCCAAUUAAAGGAAAAGCGAAUAGCAACAGUAAUAGUAACAGAAAAUGCUUUUACUGUGGAAAAACAGGUCACUUUAUUAAAGACUGUUUUAAAAAGGCAAAUGACCAAAAGAAUGGGUUUAACACUAAAAAUGCUUCUUUAGUAGCUGCUGCUGCUAAUUAUAAAGAAGUAGGAGCAAAUAUUGGAGUUGCCUAUGUGUCUAUAUCUGAAAAUACUGAUCAAGACUGGGUCUUGGAUUCAAGUUGUUCCUUUCAUAUGACACCCAAUAUAGGCUGCAUUUCAGACUUUUGUAGUUUGGAUGGAGGAUUUGUAAAACUUGAGAAUGAUGAGUCAUGCCAAGUGAAGGGAAUUGUAAAUGUGUUGUUGAAAUUUAAAAAUGGUCAUUACAUGUUGUUAAAACAUACAAGAUAUGUACCAGCACUUAGAAGAAAUCUCAUAUCCCUAAUAGUUCUUGAUUAUGAAAACUACCAAAUUGGUAUUAAAAAUGACUUUACAAAUAUAACAAGAAAUCAAGAACUUAUUGUCAGUUCACCUAAACUUAAUGAAAUUUAUGUAAUAGGUGCUGAAAUAAUUUCACCUAAAAAUUCUGUGAAUUUUGUCACACAUCCCGAUAAAUCAGAACUGUGGUAUAAAAGACUUGGCCACUUGAGUGAAAAAGGUUUUAAAACACUAUCAUAUCAAAGAGCAUUUGGAAAGGAUAGUGUUCAAAAAAUGACUUUUUGUGAACAAUGUAUCAUGGGAAAACAAGUCAGACUACCUUUUAAGGCAGGGUUGCACAAAUCCCAAGAUGUCAUUGAAUACAUACAUUCUAAUUUAUGGGGACCUGCACCUGUUCCUACUGUAUCUAGUUACAGGUAUUAUCUUCUUACAACUGAUGAUUAUUCAAGAAAAACAUGGAUUUUCUUACUAAAAUAUAAAUCUGAUACUUUUACCAUUUUUAAAGAAUGGAAUGUACUGAUUGAAAAUCAGACUGGUAAAAAGAUAAAAAUUUUAAGAACUGACAAUGGGCUUGAAUUUUGCAAUACCGAAUUUGAUCAAUAUUACAGUAAACAAAGGAUAAUGAGACAUAAAACUGUAAGCUUUACUCCCACAACAAAAUGGGAUUGCCGAGAGGUUAAAUAGAAUGAUUCUUGAAAGGACCAGAUGUAUGUUAAUCAGUUCUGGCUUUCCAAAAAUUAUCUAGGGUGAGGCUGUAAAAACAUCAUGUCAUCUUAUCAAUAGAUGUCCUUCCAGCUCUCUAAAUAACAGAAUUCUCGAACAAAUAUGGCCUGGUUCAAUGCUAGACUAUUCUCACCUAAGAACCUUUGGAUGUGCAGCUUAUGCACAUCAUACUGAGUCAAAACUGGACCCUAGAUCAUUGAAGGGCGUGUUCUUAGGAUAUGAAGAAGGUGUUAAAGGCUAUAGACUGUGGUUAAGAGAUGUAAGGGGUUAUAAGGUGAUAACAAGCAGAUCUGUUAUCUUUAAUGAAGAUGAUUUCCCUUGUCUUAGUGACAAAUCUGGUAAAAAAUUGGGAAAAGAUGACUUCAUUAUCACAGAAAUUAAUUUUGAUAGCCAAAAUAUUGAUGACCAGGCUCAGUUUGAGGUGGAGCCACAUCACGUAGAACCACAGAAUGUCUUUGAUUUUGAAAUAUUGGAAGAUGAACAGCAUCUGGAGCCUGCACAUGACCUGCAAGGCUACCAGCUAGAGAUAGAGAAAGGAGAAAAUAAGACCUCCUUCCAGGUAUCAGUAUGCUGAUUUUGCAUCUGAUCAGACUGAAUCUGAUCUCUUUGACAUAGAACCAGCCUCUUAUGAAGUGGCUAUUUCUUUCAAAGAAUCCCCUAAGUGGAUUGCUGCGAUGGAAGAUGAAAUGAACUCACUCUUUAAAAAUGAAACCUGGACUUUAGUUGAAAAACCAAAAGAUUGUAAACUGAUUGACUGUAAAUGGGUUUAUAAGAUUAAAGAGGGUGAGACUAAGGCUAGUGAUAAAAGAUAUAAGGCAAGACUUGUAGCUAAAAGCUUUAAUCAAAGGGAAGGGAUAGACUAUACUGAAAUCUUUUCACCAGUUGUUAAAUAUACAUCCAUUAGAGUCCUACUUGCUAUAGUGACACAAUGUGACUUAGAGUUAGAACAACUUGAUGUGAAAAUUGCCUUCUUGUAUGGUUCGUUAGAUGAAACCAUACAUAUGACUCAACCAAGAGGGUUUGACGUGGAAGGAAAGGAAAACUUAGUGUGCCUCUUAAAGAAAUCCUUGUAUGGUCUAAAACAGGCCCCUAGGCAGUGGUACAACAGAUUUGACUCUUUUAUACAAGGUUUGAACUUCAAGAAAUCAGAAUAUGAUCCCUGUUUAUAUUAUAAGAAAGAAGGUGAAUCUGAUUUUUUCUAUCUGCUUUUGUAUGUUGAUGAUAUGCUCCUUGCUGGUUAUAAUUCUGAUGCACUUAACUCAAUUAAAGAAAAUCUAAAAUCUGAUUUGAAAUGAAAGAUUUAGGACCAGCUAGAAAGAUUUUGGGCACGGAAAUAAAAAGAGAUAGAAUAAAUGGAAAGUUGUUUUUAACACAAAAAUCUUAUGUUGAUAAGGUUGUUAAAAGGUUUUCCCUUUAUGAAUCUAAGCCUGUUAGCUUGCCUUUAUCUGCCGGUAUGAAAUUAUCUGUUGAUCAAUCGCUGAAAACUGAAGAAGAACAUAAAAGAAUGAUGAAUGUUACGUAUUCUAAUGCUAUUGGAUCUGUAAUGUAUGUUAUGGUAUGCUCUAGACUUGAUAUUGCUUAUACUAUGAGUGUGUUAAGUAGAUUUAUGAAUAACCCAGGUGAAAUACAUUGUCAAUGCAUGAAAAAUCUGAUUAAAUAUUUGAAAGGAACCAGUAACUUAGGCUUAAUGUUCAAAACUAAUAAAAAUGGACUUAGACUUAAGAGAUAUAUAGAUUCAGAUUUUGUUGGUAACCCGGACAAUAGGAAGUCUACAACAGCAUAUUUUUAUGUUAUAAAUGAUACAUGCAUUAGCUGAAAAUCCAAGCUUUAAAAAUUGGUUGCAUUGUCUUCAACCAAAACUAAAUACAUUGUUGCAACUGAAGCAGUUAAGGAGGGUUUAUGAUUAAAGGGUUUACUUAGUGAAUUAGGACUUAUAGAAAAUCAGGUGGAGUUGUGUUCAGACAACCAAAAUGCUAUUUUUCUAAGUAAAAAUCCUAUUUUGCAUGAUAGAUCCAAGCAUAUAGAUAUAAAGUUCCAUUUUAUUAGAGAUAUCAUUGAUAAGGGUGAUAUUAGAUUGAUCAAAAUACCUACUAAGGUAAAUCCAGCAGAUGACGGAACUAACGUAAUCCCUAUUAGUAAGUUUGUUGAUUCUUUAAGAUUAAUUAAUCUUGAAGAAGACUGAUUUUCAUUAUUUUAUUUUUAUAGGUAAUAAGAGCAAAUGAAAUGAAGAUAAGUUUUGAAUAUACAAAAGCAGGCACAAAAGACAGCAAAGGUGGAGAAUGUAGAAAUUGGGUUGCUGCCUUUGUGAAGCCCAAAGUUAAUAUGCCCAACCCAUGAUUCGGUUUAAUGGCCCAAAAGAAAGAAUAAUCAGAAAGCUCAAUUGGUUUAAAGGAAAAACACGUUUUUCAGUUGUGAAAAAUGACUUUCACCGGAUCUCGACACUUGGCAAUUGCUGGACCAUUAGAUCAAAUGAUUUGUUUCUUUCAUAUAAAAGAAACUAAAACGCCUAGGGUUUGCUUGCUCUCAUUUUACGCAGCUUUCCUUUAAGUUAAAAAUUCUCUCUGUACUUUGGCUCUCUCAUCUUGGAUUUUGUUGAUUUUCUGUUGUUGGUUAAGAAUAUGUGUGAUGUUAUGAACUCUUGUGUGAGUUCUUCGUGUUGUUGAGGGGAUUUUGUUGUUGUUGUGACUAGAACUGUGUGUUCCGUUUGUAACUCAAAACUGCUGUAAUUUUGGGCAAUUGAUUUAGUGGAUUCGAGCUUAUUCCUUCAUGGAUGCUCAAUAGGGACUAGGCGAUCUGACAAAUCGUUGAACCUCGGGGCUUCGGCCAAAAAUCGCUUGUGUUCUUUUACUGUUUUUCAGAUCUACAAAUCUUGAUUUUUAGUCUUGCGAUUUUUGAUGGUUUUAAAAUGUUCCUAGGUUCCUACAAUGUCCUUUUAUUCAGGAAAAAAAUAAAGAGGCUAGUGGUAGGGUUGUGGAGCUACAAAUUAAACCAACAGUUAAAGGAAAACCUUUCACAAGUAAGUACAAGUGUGAAGCUUUAUGCUGAUAAAAAGAGAUUAGAAAAUUCAUUGGUGGAAGGUGAUUGGGUGUUUCUGAAGCUACACUCCUAUGCACAAAAGUCAGCGGAACACGAAGCUAACCAUAAACUAAGUGCUAGGUGUUUUGGCCCAUAUCAAGUUAUUAAGAAGGUAGGAGCAAUAUCCUAUCAAUUGGCAUUACCUAGAGGCUCAAAAGUCCAUCCAAUCUUCCAUGUGACACUACUGAAGAACAAGUUGGGUGAUAACAGUAUGCCAUUGCUGCAACUACCUGAAGAAAUUCGACCACAGCAGACAGAAUAUUACCCUCUUGCCAUCUUGCAGUCCAGGACGGUGAAACGCAAGAAACACACAGCACUUCAAUGGCUUAUACAUAGGUCAAAUUCUCCGCUAGACAGUGCAACUUGGGAAGACUCAGAUUGGAUUAAAUUCCAGAUUCCUAUUUGUAGAUCUUGGGGACAAGAUCAAGGUGACAGGGAGGGUUAUUAUGUGAGACGUAGCUGGGAAAGAGGAAGCACAAAAAAUGAAAGCGAAGAAGGAAACCAGACCAAAGGAAGAAGAAGAAGGACCAACAGAACUAACUACCAUUUUAAAUGCUAGUUAGAAAACGUUUUUUGCUACCUUCCUUUUUGUGAAAGACAAUUUCCACUAUGAGUGUAUAUAUACAUCCAUGUGCGAAGAUCUGUGGGUUGUCGAAUUCUGUUAUGCAAUUUCAGUUAAUCAUGUAUUGAUUCUUCAAUUCAUUUUAUCUCUCAUCUCUUCUCAAUUUUACAACCUCUUUCCCUACCCCAAUUUCUGUUUUUGUUCAUUUAAUUGGUUAACACUCAGCUCACUUCAACUGAGUUCAACUUUUGGUAAGUUACGGUUAAGGACAAACAGAAUUUAGAGUCUAACUCGUGACAAUUCUGUAAUUUAAUGUCAACAGCUUAUAGUAAGGUGAGAUUCUAAGUGACAACAAGUAACAAUGACCAAACGAGUUGUUUAAAAAAAAAAAGGUCUCAAGAAGAGAGUAGUAUUCAGAAUCUACUCCAAAAUAUAGGGAUGUUUCACCAGCUCUUAAAAGCAAUGCUUUUAUAGAAGUUCUAAAAUCUAAUUAAUGUAGAGUAAUAGCUCUUCUUUGCACCCCUGACUUGGUACAUUUUUAUCAAGCCACUAUGACUUUUCCACCACCUGUCAUUAUGAUAUAUCAUGCAUGUAAAUCAGUGUUGAGCUCUUAGGAGACUAGAAAAACAAUAAAAAGAACAACUUGUAUUCAUUAGUAUUAAGAGACGCAUCAUCUAAUAUAACUAAAGAAUUAAUUACCUUAGUCGUCAGUCAAGUGAGUUAGAGAGAGAUGCUCUCAACCUAGUGAGAGAAAAUCCCACUUGGUGCAAACUUGCCUAGGAGUUUUCUUGUGUGUUCUCUUGUGUUUUAGUUUGAUUUUUACUAAUCUUUGGUGAAAAUUGAAUUAAUACAUAUUGAUUUCUGUUUAUGUUAUGCUCUUUGUGAGUUUUGAAGGAUUUUCAGCCUCUAUUUUCAUCUUCUUCAGAGCUCCAGGUUGAUCCUUUAGGUUCGGUUUUCAUACUUUCCUUUUGGUUGGAACUUUUUCAUUCUAUCUUGGUGUGGAUUUGGUUUGUGGUAUUGCUAGUCGUCCAAGGUAUGCUGAAGUUCUCUGGUUUUCAGUUUGCUUCUAUUUGUUCUUGGUGCAUUUGUGUUCGGCCAGUGCCAUGCUGCUUGGUUUUCUGUUCAGUUUGGUUGUUUCAGAUUGGUCGUUGGUUUUUCUUCUUGCUAGAAACCUUCAGUUCUGUGUUGGUUCAGUUGGCAUUGCUUCAUUGUUACAGUUCUUUGUUCUGGAGGUUCAUUUUUCCUCUUUCGGGUUUUCCAUUGCUGGCCAGUUUUUUUCUCCUGUUUGGGUCUUCAUCUUCUUCAUUUCUGGUUAGGGCUGUUUGGUUAAUCUUUGUGCUACUUGGUUAAUCUUUCUGGCCGGUGUUCUGGUUUUACAGCAGUAUAUUGUUGUAUGUAUUGUGUAUCUAUCGAUUUUCUCAGGUUGUGUAUGCAUUUUUGCAUUUCACAUGUGAUUGGUUUUUUGAAUUUGGUCAGACUUUCCCUCUGAUUUUCUGCCUUGUUCAGUGUUAUUCCCUGAAUUGCAACUUCUAGCUUCUGUCUUUGGUGCUUUGGUGUGACAUUUUCAGUGGGUUGGUGGUUAGGUACCUAUUGUGACCCGUUUUCUGCUCUUCUUGGGCCGGGUUAUUGGGCUAUUCCUUCUUGGCCUGGUUUUUCUUUUGUCGCUGGAUUUUGGGCUGUUUUUCUUUUGCUGGAUUAUUUCUGUGUUGCUGGGCUAUUUUUCUUCUUGCUGGAUUAUUUUUGUGUUCCUCUUGGGCCGGCUUUCUCCUUUGCUGCUGGGCUAUUUUUUUUUUGUGGUUCUGGAUUUGUGAGCUGUGUUGCUGGGCUGUUAAUUUGGCUCGUUUCACUUGGUCUUUUUGCCUGGUUUGGGCUCCCUUACCGUGUGAACAUCCAUGGGUAAGAAGAAGUUAAAAUCAGGACUUCCCCCUUUGAACAUUAAAUCUGUUCAGUAGCCUCCUGCUGAGGUAGGUGUUGCCUCUCCGUUGAAGUUUAAAUCGGGGGAGCAUAAGGUGAUUAAUUUGCCUUCACCGAGUGUCUCUUUAACUCUUGGUGAGGAGGAUACUGAUUCUGAGCAUUCUAAUUUUGAUUCAAAUUUUGCUAAAUUGAUGAAUCAAAGUUCUGGAAAUGAGAUCGGUUUGGAUGGGGUUAUUGAGAAAAAAACCUCAUAGGUUAAUCUUUUUAAGGACAACCGUAAAUUAGAGGAAAAUAUCAAGUUGAAACCUUUCCAUAAUCAAUUGGAUGAGGUUGUGUUGGGUAAAUGUGAUGAAGAUAACAUUGAAAAUUCUUGGGGAUAUGGGUUGGUUGGAUACUUUGCCGGUAGGUUUCCGGGGAAAGUAGCUUUACUCCAAUUAUGUGAUUCUUGGAAGGUGAACUAUAAAUAUUAUGUUCACACUAGUGGUUGGUUGGUAUUCAAGUUUGAUACAGAUAGUGAUAGAUUAAGUGUGAUGUAUGGGGGCCCAUACUUAGUCUACGGGAGACCGCUCAUGCUCAAAAUCAUGCCACACUAUUUUGAUUUCAAUGAUAAAGAUGUGAGUACAAUGUCCGUGUGGAUUAACUUACCGGGUUUGCCCUUGGAAUUUUGGAACACUAAUGCCUUGGGUAAAAUUGUUUCAAAAGUUGGGAAACCAAUCUCAACAGACAAAGUGACGGCUACUAGAGGUCGACUUUCCUUUGCGAGAGCACUUGUUGAAGUUGAUGCCUCCAUUGAACUUGUGCGGGAGGUCAAGAUUAGGCUCCCCAAUGGCACGUUAAGGGAACAAGAAAUUGUUUUCGAGCAUGAACCAAAAUUUUGUGGUUCUUGUAAAGUGUUCGGUCACUCGACUACGGGUUGCAACAAUAAAAAUUCUGGUGGGGAGAAAGGUAAAGGUAAGGCUGCCGGUUCUAACCAAAGGAAAGAUGGACAAGAUGGAAAAUCAGCCUCUAAUGCCCAGAAGUCAGCUGAUCAGGUAGCGUGUAUGCAGCAACAAAUUGAGGAACAAAAUAUCAUGGCUUUGGAUGGGCAGAUUGGCCAGCAACAUCAUCGAAAUUCUAGGCAGCUUACUGUAGAAACUUUGGACAGCCAGCUGGUGGAUAAAACUGCCCAGGUUGAGGUGCCGUUUGAGAAGGUAGUGAGCAAGAAAAAUAGGGCUGUUGGGGGAAAAAUCUGCUCAUGUUCAGCCUGGAAAAUUUGGAAACGAUUUACCUACCAACUCCAUUGAAGCAAGCUCUUCUAAAGCUGGAAAUGAAAAGCUAAAAGGCAAAGUUGAGGAGAAAAAGAAGUCGGGAUUCGAGAAGAAGGGAACAUCCCUUGCUUUUUCAUCAUGGAGAUCGCUUCUUGGAAUAUUAGGGGCAUGAAUCCACCCCUCAAACAAAAUGGGAUUCGAGAGUUUAUAAAGCUUCAUAGCAUUGAUAUUAUGACAAUUUUGAAAACGAAGUUGGGGGACCGAAAGUUGAAUAGGAUUUUGUGGAAUAAGUUCGAUGGCUUUAUGCAAGUAAAUAAUUUUUGCACACAGAGUCGGAAGAAUCUUAAUUUUGUGGAAUCCAUCCAAAGUUUUUUUUGGAUGUAAUGGAGGUUCAUCCACAAAUUAUCCAUUGUAAAGCUACUUGAAAGGUAACUUUUUAUGCUUUUCUUGUGAGUUUUGUAUAUGGAUUUCACACUAUGGUAAACCGAAGGCCUCUUUGGAACACCAUUAUGGAGCUCAAUGAAAAUGUGUCGUUACCUUGGUUAAUU
rnacentral:lncRNA from 1 species